rnacentral:lncRNA from 1 species
UUUUUUUUUUUUUUUUGUUCCGUCUUCUUUUUGUCCUUGGCUACAAAAUCUAUGAUUGAGGUACCAAGAAAACAUUAAUUUUGUACUUAUCCGCCGUUUUUUAAUCAAUAAGAAAGAUAUUCGAACUUGAGACAUCUUUUGAUCUUCAGAGACUCAACUCGAAAAAGUAAGACGAAUCUGAAAAAGAUUCAAGCUUAAGACCUCUUCCGGUCUUCCGAAAUUGAAUCUUAGAAAAGGACUGCUUCAGUUCGUAACUUAGACAACUCUCUCACUAUCAAUUUAGCAUAGUUAAUGCCACUUAAGUUCACACUUUGUUCCUUUGUUUCUUCUUAUAUUAUCGUCCUAUAAUUUCCGUACACAUAGGGCUAAACAAUGAAGACUAAUCCUCAAAAAAAUCUAAGAACAAUCACAUACGCAAUUCUUGACCAUCCAACUCUAGAAGCAAGCGGCUUAUAGCUCGAGCGGCAAAGAGCAUUGAUCCCGCACUUUGAGCCUGAAAAGUUCUGUGUUUGACUCCCCUCAAUAUCCGUUGUAUAACAACAAACAAAGACCAUCCAACUCUUAAUAACUUAAGAAGCUAUGAAGUCCAUAACCAUAGUUUUAAUACUCAAAUCAUGACUAUUAACUAGCUAUGAGCCCAGCUGCCCAUGACAACACAGAUUCUAAAAUCCAGAUUAUGUCAUGUAUACCUAACAACUUAAGGACUUACAUGACACAGGGGCACCGUCACUGUCCAAUGGUAAAAUAACAUAUGUUGUUUUUGUUCACAUGUGUUUGUAGACAAUAUGCUGCUAAAAUGACGGUGUACCAGUAUCAUGUAAGUUGCUCUAAAAUUACGACAGAGAGGAAAAAAAAAGAAAAAAAAAAGAAAUCAAUAAACAGAUCACCUCUGCAAUUGCCAUGGAAAAGAUUCUUAUGAAAUGAUGAAAUUACAAGACUGAAUUUUUACAACACAAACAAAUAAUCCGGUCGGACAAACACCAACAACGCCACCACCAUCACUCAGACCUUAUUUACCACAAAAAGGAAAAACAAAAACACAAAAUCUGAAACAUGUUUCAGAUAUUGGUUUGUGAUAGUAGCUGACUACAUGGUACCAACUGAAAUCAAAAUCUGUAAAUAUAAAUAUAUACAGACAUAUAUAUGUAUAUGUAUCUACCUUGUGGUUCUGCUGCAAAGAAAGCAAUCCAAGAUCCUCAACCAAAGAUCUCGGACACGUGGGUAUACCCUAUUGGUGUGAGUUCUUGAUUCGGAGAGGAGUUCCUCCAUGGUCUCCACGAAGGGGUUUAGGCUUCUGACUGGAGGAACGUACAGAGUCAGAGGCACUGCAGAGAAGGCAACUGUUAACAGCAACUGCAACACCAUCCUCUAUCUAUCAAUUCAAACCAAAACCCACAAAAAUAUGAUCUCAAAGAUUGGAUUUUGAUUGAAACCCAAUUGAGUUUUGAAGAUUUUGAUGCAAAAAAGGAGGGUUCUGGAGACGAUGUUUCUGGAAAUUAAAAGAAGAAGGUGGAGAGUGGAGAUUGGGGAGAGAGAGAGAGAGAGAGAGCAAAUAAAUGAUGGAUUACAAAAGGAAGGAGCAAAGUGUUAAAUGUCUGGAUCUGACUGGUAGUUGGAUGGAGGCAUUGAUAUUUUGCAGUUGGGUGUGCAGUGUGCUGCCCCUUAUCAUUCGAUCGGGCCAAGUCGAGUAAGGAUUAAGCUAUGACUGAGUUUGCGUAGUCUUUUGCUUUUCUUCUUUUUUUAUUUCAUUUUUUUCCCCUCAAAGAUAAGGCAUUUUUUUCAUUUUUUGGCUUCAUUCCUCAUGAUAAUCUUGUUGAUGUUCUAAUGCAUUUAUUCAUUUCAUCUAUUUAAUUGUAAGUUAUGUUGUGUAGCAGAUGUAAGGCUCAUUUUCAGGCUGUAUAGAAGCACAAUUAUACCGUUUGGAAUACGAAAAAUUGAUUGAGGAGAUGUCAAAGCUUUAUGAUAACUAAUUUUGGUCCAUGUGAUGUGAGUAUAGCUUCCAGUACAACUUAUAUAGUAGUCUCGUGUUUAUUACGUCUUCAAUUUAAUGAAAGAUUGUACAAUCAAGAUGACUAAAGACAUAAAAUGAUAGGAUUUCUUGAAAUUGACACCAACUCUUGAAUGAGGAGGUCCUAUAUAAAACCAGGUGUUUCCUCUGUUUCUUUGCCAAUUGAAAGGGCUAACUUUGCUAGUAUAUGAGCAAUCUCAUCACAAACUCUAGGAACAUUUAAGUACUCAAUAGAAAGGAAAGCCAAAGCAACACGUAAAUGAGUCGAUCGGUGGUUUUUGAGCACGUUUAUGGCUUGUAAAGAGUCGCUCUCCAGCACGUUUAUGGCUUGUAUAGGAUUUCAAAACGUCAUAAUGCAAUGUGAGAAAAUUAAAACCUCGUGACACAUUUUGAAAAUCACUUCAAACUUGUAUAGAACGUACUUAACCUUAUCAUUAUUUUCCUAAAUACUAUACUUCUAGUAUGUUUAAAUAACAUUAGCCACAAAUUCAAGCUAGGAAAAAUCUGUCAUAUUAAAGGAAUUGAACAAAAUGUAUAUAAUGGUGUUGUGGCUUAAUUUAAGAGUAAUAUACUCUGCUUAUAAUUUGUCAUAUUGUAUGUUACACAUUUUAAAAGCUCUUUGAGAUUAUGUGGUUCGAAACAAACUAACACCAAGUUGCUGGACUCUUGAAGAAAAGUUUCCAACUUUCCAUGUGGCCUUUUGGCGUUCGGAUGUUAGAAAAGAAGACUGGUAGUUGUAGAGAAUCUCAAUUAAGCCACAAUCAAUACAUAACCGGUCUUAUUAGGAUAGACUACAAAGUCAGCCAUUGCAGUUGCAAUAUGGCGGAUCUAGAAUUCUAAUCUUGAGUUCCAAUGUAAGACAUCAAAUUUUAUUUAGACGCAAGUUUGUUUUUUUUUUUUUGUUUUGGAAAGGUAGACGGACAUAUUGUGAAAAAAUAUAUUCAGUUAGAAAAUUUCUUGAGCAUUGGGUAGGCCUAUUAUUACAAGUGUUCAUAUUGACAAAUGCCAAUCUAUGGUCGAGACCCUAUGUCAAGUGUUGUCGACACAUCCUACAAUUAAAAUGCAUUGAUAUAUUUCUAAAUGGCAUUUCAUCAAACACUUAAUGAACACAAAAUAUUCGUAUCAUUCUAUCAGACAUUCAAAAGAUUCUCGAAAAACCUUCACAAACGUUUUCCCGGCCUUUGAAAGUCUCAGGACCAUCCGGGUUUCUAUGUGGAUCCAACCAUGGCGGUCGCCAUCGGACCCAAUCUGCACCACAUGCACAAAUUAAGGCAUCCGACCGGUGACGACCCACAAUCCGAUGAUUAAAUGAGCCGGCCCAAUCAUGGAAGCCCAUAAAUUUGUUAACUUGAAAUUCGAAAUACCCGACACCGUCAAUACAAAACAGACUUCCAACUACAAACUCUUAUUAGGAUAGACUUACAAAGUCAACCAUUGCAGUUGUAGUAUGGUGGAUCUAAGAUUUUAAUUUUGGGAAAUCCCAAUGUAAAAUAUCAAGUUUUAUUUAGACAGAAACUGUGCGCGUAGCAGAAUUUCUUUUAAGUGAUCCUGUGCAUUUGGUGGGCGUAUCAUCAUAUGCAUUCAUAUUGUUAAUGCCAAGGCAAUCACUGAGUAUUGUCAGGAUCGUCUUUGAGAUUUCAGGAGUUCUGUGUGAAAUUCAUAAAGGGACCCUUCUUAUAAGACAUCUUAAAAAAAUUGAACAAUGUAUUGAUGCUAAAAAGUAAUAUCGAAAUAAACUUUAAAACUCAUUAAUCAUCUGUUUCUAAAUAUUAUUAAAUGUAAAGGCAACUACAAUGGGACGAAGAGAGAAGGGAAGUAGAGUGGGACACUAGCGACGGCGUCUAGGAUUAUGGUGUGAAGGAAGAAAAGUGGGAAGCAACGAUGAGACUUUGGUGUGACUCGUGAGAGAAAAAAAAUGGACUCUGAGUCUCCGACAUGAAUUGUUUGCCUCGGUGGGGUUCUUUCCUUUAAAUUGAUUAGUUUUGUCAACAUAACUUUGUUAAUUAUAAUUUUAUAUAAUUCCGCACAGAUUUUAGGUGACUUUUGGGCCCAUUAGAUAUAUAUAUAUAUAUAUAUAUAUAUAUAUAUAUAUAUAUUUAUGUGAUUAGUAUUUUAUUUCAUAUAAUAUUAUUUUAUAUAUUAUUAUAUUCAAUACAAAAUAAUUUUAGGGGCCCCAAAAAAUUUUGGGGCCUUGUGCAAUGGAACCUGUCACACCUGCUAAAAGCCGGCUCUGAGUAUUGUCAACAUAUUUUGCAAAAAUAAUGUUGAUAUUCCCAUAAGACAUUUCAUUAAACACUUGAUAAACAUAAAAAUGAAUCUCCAAAGAACCUUCACAAGCACUUUUUUUCGGCCUUUGUAGGGUCCCAAUCCGCCAUAGUAGUUGCCGUAGGACCAAUCUGCACCACCCGCACAAAUUAAGUUAGAUCCGAUCGGUCCGUUUAGGAACAACCCACAAGCCGAUGAUCAAAUAAGUCGGCCCAACAAAAAAAAUAUCUCGAUCACGGAGGGCCGUAAAAUUGUUGUAAUUUUUUUUUUCAACUAACAAUAUAAAAAAAGAGAAGGGUGGACUAAAUCUUACAAUAGAUUAAUAAUAAUAUGAUUUUAUCUUGAGGUAUUGUUGACCCUAGAAACUACAAAGCAUACGUGACGCGCAGGCCGAGUAAUCUAUAAGCUAACUACGUCAUUCGGGGAAUGCGGGGCGUGCCAACUCGUCGGCCGAGCUCGACCGAGGAGUAAAUUUGUUGAUGUUGCGUUGGGUCGCGCUACUGACUUCUGCGUCUUGCGAUUGCGGCCGAGAAAGGAACACGUCUCGGCCUCUUGGGCUCUCGAACCUGAAGACAAGGUUACUAUUCUUACGAAGCUCAAUAUCAAAUUCGGCUUUCAAUGUGCCGAAUGUAAUAACUGUAACACCUCACUUCGCCGAGAAGGCUGAUGAGAUGACCUCGACCAAUAAGGAUUUAGAAACCCUUCUCGACCGAGACUUGGAUAGGUAAUCAAUCGUGCUCGCCGCAGUGCUGUUGAUGCCAACGGAAGGUACUGCGAGACCGACUGACUCUACGGUGACAGAGCUAUCUAUGCCGACUUAAGAUAUCACCGGUUGCUUCCACAGUGCUGUUGAUGCCAACGAAAGAUGUGUCAGCGAAAAAGGAAAAGGAAAAAUCACAAGUUGUGAGAAUUUGCGCAGGGCAAUUUUGUAUUGAUUUGCAGGGGCUUGAAUGAUGUGCAACCUCUUCUAUUUAUAGCAAUGGCCCCCUCCAAGGUCGAGUUAAAAACCUACUCGAACUAGGUUUUCUUCCCCUGAUCAGCAUCAACUCGACCAGUCCUACCUUCACUAGGACUGUGAACUUAGUCCUUUAACUGAACCAGAUUCGUUUCUGGGUUCUGUCGAGACUCCUUAUUGCACUAGGAUUCGACCUCUUGCGUUAUGACCUAGCCGACCUAGGUUUGGAGGCCCACGUACUGAACGAUCCAUGGUAUUCUUGUCGCAAGGCCUUCCGGGCCGAGAAUGACCCUACACUCGGCCCAAAAUUGUUAUUUUAGGCCCAAACAGGUAUUCAUCAAUUCCCCCAUGAACUUGUGAUCAUUGGCCAAUUUCCCCCCAUCAACUUUAAUUUUGGCCAAUUUCCCCCCUCAACUCUCAUAAUUAGUCAAUUUCCUCCAUCAACUUUAAUUUGGCCAAUUUCCCCCUCAACUCUCAUAAUUAGUCAAUUUGCACUCUACUGUUAAUUUUUUUUUAAAUUUUCCUUCUAUUCUUUUUUCUUUCUUUCAAUCUUUCUAAUAACUUCCAAUAAAGUACUAAAAUUAACAUAAACUCACAUGCAUAAUAUAGGGUAAAAUGUACAAAAAACAUAAUACAAUUAGUAUGUGAUAUGGGUUGAUUAUAAGAAAAAGUUAUGAAUCGGGUUUAAAACAUGUAGAAGAAGAAAUAAUAAUCCUAAACUCAUGGAUCAGACCUAUUUCAAUAAAAUGUGUUAUUCUUAAUAAGGAGUCGAAAAUUAUGAAUUGAUUAGCCAUUUUUGCACUAAAGCUCGAUUCUCCACAAUCUACUUGAACUUAGCUUUCACUUUUAUAAAGAAAAUUGUAUUCACAUACAAAAAUGUACACAUCAAUCCUUUUCGUUAUCAAUUUUGUAUAGUAAAAAAUCAAAUAAAAUUACUCCAUGCUGAUUUAUUAUGACUAAUAAUACUAUCUAUGAUAAAUUGUAAAAUUCUAAAUUUUAAUCUAUUUGUAAUAGGAUAAAGACAUAGGAAAAUGAUUAACAUACAUCUUAUUUAGUUUCUUACACACACUUGUUUAAUUAUGAUCAAAUUAAAAAAUUAACAGUAGGGUGCAAAUUGAAUAAUUAUGAGAGUUGGGGGGGGGGGGAAUUGGCCAAAUUAAAGUUGAGGGGGGAAAUUGACUAAUUAUGAGAGUUUAGGGGGUAAAUUGGCCAAAAUUAAAGUUGAGGCGGGAAAUUGACCAAUAGUUACAAGUUCAGGGGGGAAUUGAUGAAUACCUCUUUUAUCUUUGAUAAGAAUCAAGCUUAUUACCUUUCACUUAGCAACGAAUAAGAGGCAAAAUUGUUGUAAUUAACUUGAAAUUCCCAACAAAAAAGCUCAAUUUGUUGAAAACAUCAACAGUUGAAAACUUUAGUAGUUGAAAACAUUUACAUUGUUAUGAAUGCUCACACACAGAUUUCCAAUGCCCAUAAAUGUGAUGAAGACUUUGGAAACAACAAGAUUGUAUUUUCAAAGGCAUGUGAUGUAAAUUUCAAAAUGUAAUAAUGCGAAUUGCUCUAUAAAUAUAGCAUUCGAUUGCAAUCAAAACACACAGAAAGAAAGAAAAAUCAAUAAAAUCAUCUAUUCCUCCUUCUUUUAGGCCUCGUUUGGCAGCUCGGACUGUACUAACUAUUUCUGUCAGAUAUGAUAAAUAGCCACCGGAUGGUAUUGACUAAAUUAGUCGGGCAUUUGGUGCAGUAUCAGACUAAUGACCGUAUUAUUUAUACUGUGUUUGGUACUAUAUCGGAUAAUGACCGUAUUAUUUAUAUAGCGUUUGGUACUAUAUCGGAUAAGAGGAAUUCAAAUUAUUUAAAGAAAAAAAAAUGAAAUCAUCUCUUCCCCAUAUCUCAAUGCCGCACCGCCCCUUCCAAACACCUUCACUCCCUUACCAAUUCUUGACCCAAACAGGCAAAAUCGUAAAACCCAGAUGAAAUCCUUUCGAAUUUUCAAAUCUUAUCAUCAUUUCACAGUCAAGGUUCUAGAACCCAGAUGAAAUCUUUCCAAAUUGUGCGGUGGUGGUGCGAUGAAAAUAUGUUUGUUGGUUCACCUAUUUUGGCACAACUUGUGUCCAAUGGUUUGAUGAAUGAUAUUCGAGAAGAGCGAACCUUCAUGGAGAGCCGCCGAUUCUGUGGAUUAUGAGGGCCAAUCUUUGAUUCACUUGGCGGUUGCUCAAGGUCGGCCUAACCUUGUCCAGGUACUUCUUGAAUUUGAGCCUGAUGUGGAGGCUCAAAGCCUGUCAGGAUCUACUCCACUUGAGGUUCGUGCGAGAGAAGAUAGAGAUAUGGUGAGAGAAGGAGACGGAGGGAAGGGUGACGACGAGGGAGUUCAAGAGAGAGAGAGCAGUUUGUGCGAGAGAGAAGGAAAGGGACCGGACUAAAUAAUACGCCCAUUUUGGACGGUUUUAGCAAAAGGGUGUAUGCCGUGUAAAAUAAGCGGAUCAAAUUAAAUUAGUCUGGUCCAAUUUAAUACGAGAGAGCGCCUAACAUCCGCCUCCAUAUUAAUAGUCCUAUCUGAUGUACCAAACAAGACCUUAUUUAUCAUCUAUAGUGCUAUAAUUAUAAUGUGAUAUUUUACCUCAGCUUUACUCCUCUCCCUAGUUUAGUGUAACUUUUACAUAUUUAGAACACAAUUAUAUUUUGGAACUGAAAAUGGCGCACUUCUAUUAACUUUCUAAAAUUCGUAAAGACUAUUCGUCCUUCUCGUCUCUUCACAGUCCCGUCCCGUCCAAUCCAGUCCACUCCACUGUCCGCUGUCCCGAUAAUGCGGAAGAAAAUGCGAAGGAAACGCCGCGUUCCGGAGGUCCUCCGGAGGCUAUUCGGCAAACGGGCGCGAACAUUGUCCGACACCAUCGUCUCCUUGCUCCCUCCCCAUUCGUCGUCGUCAGUCCCCGCCGACUGUCGUUUCUGCAAGGGCCGCCGUUGCCUCAGCUGCACCGCACCUGACGGCUUGUCGUUUCUCCUCCGACCUGACGACCCCUCCGAUUACCGCCACCUCCUCAACCAUGGAUACGUCGUGGUUGCGAAAAAUGCACCUGCCAUCACCCGCUUUUCCCCUGACUCUCACUGGUCCCAAAUUGAGGUACUUUAUAAUCAUACACAUUCUUAGUUUAUGUAUAUAUGUUAUGUAUGUGUGUGUAUAUACUUAUAUACACAUAUAUGGAUUAAAAGCGAUAUCACUACUCUAAACUACACAAAUAAGAGAGGGGUGGUUUGAACUGGGACGCAAUGAGUUGAAGAGGAAGACCAUAUCCACAAGGGCAAUCCACCGCUCUGUGUGUAUAUAUAUUUAGGGUUCAUUAGGUUGUUUUAAUUUGUUUAUUAAUGUAAAUAUUGCAUGCUUUUGUGGCCAGAUUGUUAGAGCAGUGAUUGAAGCGAUGAUGGUUGAGCAACCUGUGUCUUCCAAUGUGAUAUGCAGUGGUUAUGAUAAGGUAAAUUCUCCUUCUUUUUUCUACCAUUUAUUUUAAUUAUAUGGAAUGUAAUUAUAUAGUCAGUUUAAAAAAAUGUAUUUGUUGAUUUGUAUAUGUUUUGGCAGUCUAAUCAGUCAAGCGGCAUUGUGGAGCUUCUAACUUCGUCGGCUUGGUGUCUUCUCUUAGAAAGGGUAUGAUCGUGUAACCGCUUUGAUUAGUUGCGAUUAAUGAUGUGUGGAAAGUUUAUGUAUGGAUUCUAAAACUGAUAAAGGAUAAAACUUUUGUGUGACAGGUUGGGGAUGGCAUUAUGGUUUAUUUACUAAGGAAUGCAUCGAUAUUUUUGCCACUUCUGCGUACGAACCACCAGCAGGUCACAGGUCUGCCAAUCAGUCAGUUGUGUCCGAAGAAGUUGAAGCGUGUGCAGCAGCCACAGUGGCAACAGUCAUUGCCUGAGUCGUAUGGUAAUCAUUAGCUUCUAUUGUAAUGUACUAUGUUGGGAAGUACUGAAAAAUGUGACCUAGCUUCGAUUAUCUGGAGAUAAGUAUAGUUCGUCUGCGUACAGUUAUCCCUUGUAUUUAGAUGAAAGUACGAUCAAAUUUGUGCAGCAUGUCAUUGGUUUUAAGCUUUCAUGUGUGUUAAUUUCUUAUUUCUUGGUCUGCUCAUGAUAUUGAAGUACAAAUCAAUUGGUUAGUAGACAUCUUAAACAGCUAGCUCAAGAAUGAAUGAAUACUACAACUCUAGACACACAGACGUGAAUAAUGACUACGAUAUAAAAUAAAUUUCUUAUCUUUUAGCAUAUACAUGAUCACAGAUCUUAGUUACCCCUCAAUGUAAUUUAGGGUAUUGACAAUGCCUGAUCUUUCUUGGUAUGUUUGGGCUCAGAGUGUUUCUUUGUGCAUGUUGAUUUGUGGUGUGUCCAAAUGGAGUCACUUGUUUUGUGUAAUCUCUCCUUGUCUCUGAUUGUUUUGGUUGUUCAUCUCUAACGCCACCCCUUAAAAGGGUGAUAAAAUACCACAACUUGGUGAUUGGAUUUGCAACUUUAUCUCAGGAUCCCGGAAAAAGAGGGAAAGAGAAGAUAAUGUACACUCAUUGUUGAAGAGACAGCACCUUAGUUCUUUUAGCAGUGAUAAAACCAUUGGUUCUGCUGCCUGCAGUGGCUGCUGCAGUGUUUGUAAGGAUAAGCAUAGUCAUAAUGGAACCAGCACGUUUACUGACAGUUAUGAAGGUGAUUUAAAUAAGGAACUUGAACAGGGUUCCCAAAGGCUUAAAAAGCGUGCAAGGCCAUUUAGUUGGCAGCGCCACAAGAAGCGUAGGCUAUUACCUUCUCAAGAAACCAGCUUUCAGGAUCCUUCCAAAACAAUUAUCGGUGAUAAGGAAAGCUUAUCUAGCAGGCUUUCAUAUUGCUCAGUUCAUCAUCAUAAAAAGGUUCAUGGGUAAACCUGACAGUUUUCUCAUUCAGACUUUUUCUAAAAUGUUGGAAUCCCCCCUUCUCCAAUAUCAUUCAAUAAAAAAUGAAAGGUCCAAAAUGUUGAAGAGGCUUAUAAGCUUUAUCAAAUUUCUUUUCUGGUUAUUUCCCUUCUCAUGUAAUUUUCUUAGUGGUUUCUUUUUAAUUUUUGUUUUCUUUGGCAGUGCUCUUGUUUGGGGUUACGCAUUCCAAGAAAGGUUGCCAAAGGGGCUCAAAUUGACAGAAAAUUCAUGUUCUUUAACUUGGAACAGUCUUCAUCAGUUUUCCCAAGAAAACGUAUCCUUUUGUACUUGUGUGUAUAUGUAUAUACAUACUGAAAUACACAGUUCUGAUCUUUGAUUACCAUUGUCCAAAAAAAAUUAUGGUGACCCACUGUUUGAUCAAAAUCCAAUAAUAUUUUAUUGGAAUUUGAACACACCAAUGUUGACCUAACAAUUGAUGACCAUGGUCAAUGGAGACCAAGUGAUAAGAAAUCUAUGUGUGUAUCUUUGGAUUUGCUAAUCUUGUCAAGCAGCAAUAAAUUGUAUGAAUAGAAAUUUGCCUUAUCAUCUCAGUAUAUUUCACGAGCAGCAACGGUUUGUGCAGUAAUGACUUUCUAAUGUUUGAUUUCCCUGAAAAUGAUGAUUUCCUAUCAUGUAUGGUGCUGUCUUGUCCUUUUCCUUUAUUCUGUUACAAGAUUUUUCCCAAAGAAACUUAGGGUUUUUCUUUUCUAUUUUUUAAAUGAUAACCAAUGUAUAACACUUAAUGAUCUUCAGAUGUUCUGAAUUCUUUAAAGCCAAAUUCUGUUGGUUCAGAAUUUCUUGUUAAGAGUAUUUUUGGCAUAUCCGACACAGAAAGUGCUAUGUCAAAUAUAUGUCCUCGUGGAAGUGGUCUUUGUCUCACGGGAUCAGCAUGCCUGUAAGCUUCUCAUUAUUCUUGAUAAUAUUUUGGUGGUGUUCUGGAAUACUGAAUGGUUUUGCUUUUAUUUUUACUUUUGACCCUACCUAGUGUGUUUUAGCGUUGGAAGUACAGAGUGGUAUCCUACUAUCUUUCAACAAGAAUUUUUUAAUAAGGAAUCUGGUUAAUAGCCAGCAGUAAAUGUAAUAAAUAUUGUUAUUAAUCCACUAGAUUUUUAAGCACGUGGUGUAAUAUUCUGUAUAUUAAAAGAUAUGCCUUUCCAUAGGAUAAUCAAAUGAAAAAGGUCUUUUUUGGCAUUGCUUUAACAAAAUGAUACCAUCGGGGUAAAUGAAAGAGUAUUUGCUACUUUGUGCUGAUAGGUUCUGUACUGGAUGGGACCAGACUAUGUAUAGAUAUGUUGCCGACAAUUAUUUGCGUUUUGUAUCUAGGAGCACAAAAACUGAAAUGUUAUGCCUAACGAUAUGUGGAAAUGAUUAUUUGAAUUGCUAUGGUCAUGAUAUCUUACAUCCUUUUAAAGUUCUUUGUUUAUAUGUUUUAAUUUUUGCGUUUCUGCUGUGCGUGUGUGUGUUGUGGAGACUGGGAGUAAUUAUUAAUUGUGCUCAAGUUAGGUCUUUAAUCCUUGUCUUCUAGCCAUUUUCUUAUCUCUGUUUUAUGUUGGGUUCCUGUGUGUGCGUGUGUGUUGUGGUCCAUAUAUGAACAAUAAGUGGUGGCUUAUGUUUUUCAGGUAUCAUUCCCUUGUUAAGCUGCUUAAGACUCUCAUACGCAGAGCUCAACAUUGCCAUAGUUUGAGAUUAUUGGACAAGCAUUGUGGUGUUUCAUCUCCAGAUGCUACUGAUUCUCACUCCGAGGCUAUUAAGUCUUAUUGCUUGAAAAGUCAGGUGGUCUCGUUUAUAUGGGCUGUUUGUAGGAGAAUCAUUCCUUCAGAUUUGCUAGGAACUGCUUCUAAUUGGAGAAUAUUGAGGAGAAAUAUUUCGAAGUUCAUACAUCUUAGAAGAUUUGAAAAUUUUUCUUUACGGCAAUGUAUGCAUAAACUGAAAACAUCUAGGUUCCCAUUUCUAUCAAAUAAACAGUAUUUCUGCGGCAUGAAUAAUGAGGCAGUAAAAGACGUGGGUGGAAAAGGAUUAGACAUUCAUAAAGGAUUCCCUAAAUUGAAUGAUGCUGCACAUAUUGUUAAACAAAAAGUCUUGAAAAGCUGGAUUUAUUGGUUCUUUUCAUCCAUAAUUGUCCCUUUGUUGCAAGUCAACUUCUAUGUCACCGAAAGUGAGCACGGGAGGCAAGAUGUAUAUUACUAUCAAAAGUCAGUUUGGGAGAAGGUGAAGAAUAAGACUAUCAGUUGCAUGAAAGAUCAGAGGUAUUAUUACUUGGAUGAUGCAACAACUAGAAGGAUUAUAAGAAAAAGAUUAUUUGGUUUUUCAAAGCUUCGGAUUUGUCCAAAAGAGUGUGGAGUGCGGUUGCUAGCAAAUUUAAAAGCAUCAUCAAAAAUGCCACAAAAGGAGUUCAGUUUGGCAGAGCAGUCCAGUGGCAUAGUAAGAAGGAAAAAAAGUCUUCAGAAAAGGGUCAAAUUUGAAUAUUUCAAGUCUGUCAAUAGCGUUCUUCGUGAUACGCAUGCUGUUCUAAAAGCUAUACGGUUGAAGGAGCCAGAGAAGUUAGGUUCAUCAGUUUUUGAUUACAAUGAUGUCUAUCGAAAGUUAUGUCCAUUUGUGAUGGGUUUAAAGAAUGGACCGACAAUGAUGCCUGAUGUAUUUAUUGUUGUUUCUGAUGUGUCAAAAGCCUAUGAUACUGUUGACCAGGAUAAGCUGCUUUGUGUGAUGAAAGAUGCCAUAAGAAUGGAUGAAUAUUUUCUAAAACAUUCAUAUGAAGUUCUUUGCACAAAAGAAUUUUUAUGGGUUCAUGAGAAUCCUGCAUUAUUGGAUCAACAUACCAGCUUGAGGUUUACAUCUUCUGCCUUACACCGAUCAUUGCAAAGUGUCCUUGUUAAUCAGGUAUUUUUGCGUAUUUAUGAAAAAUUGUCCAGCUAUAUUUUGUGAACUAAUUUUGUUUCUGUGGAAUAUGUUACAAUUUUUCCGCUCUUUGAGUCUGUACUCUGUAUUUUGUAUAUUUAUGAACUUAAUCAAUUCGAAGCCAUCCAUCUUGCUUAUAUAAAAGAAAAUAAGUUGUUCAAUAUCAAAGGAAGUAGUAUUCAAAACAUUGAGCAUAAGGUUCUUGGUGCUAAUUUGUUUCAAAUUCAGUAGCUUUUAACUUUGCAACCUUGAAGGUCCCAUCUAUGUUUAUCAUGGGGCAAGGGAUGAAAAUUUGUGUACUUGCUUAAAAUUUCUUGAGCAUCUUUGCAUUAUUAUCCCUUUCCUUUUCUUUAUAGAUUGAGGUACUUUAGCUGAUAGUUUUAUUUUCUAAUGCUUAGGAAUAUAGCAGGUCCAUGAAGAAGGAGGAACUCUUUUUUAAUCUAAAUCAACAUGUCAAGCGCAAUGUGCUGCAGUUAGAUAAAAAGUUUUAUCUGCAAGGUGUAGGUAUUCCUCAAGGAAGUGUUUUGUCUUCUUUGCUUUGUUCAUUAUACUAUGGACAUUUGGAUAGGAAUGUGAUCUUUCCGUUUCUUGAAAAAACUUGGGAACCCGUGACAAUAGAUUCAUCAAGAGGACAUAAUUUUGGAGAUGCUUCUGCUGCACAGAGUGCUAAUGAGGAUGGCAUUGCCUCAACCUCUACUUAUUUUCUACUAAGAUUUAUUGAUGACUUUCUUUUCAUCUCAACCUCAAGGAAUCAGGCUGCUGGCUUCUUCACCAGGUUGCAAAGAGGAUUUCGGGAUUAUAAUUGUUACAUGAAUGAAAAGAAGUUCUGUGUGAAUUUCGAUAUGCAACACAUGCCUGGGAUACCAUCAAGCAGGGUGUAUCUUGGUGAAGACGGCAUCUCAUUCAUUCGAUGGAGUGGCUUGCUUCUUAAUUCUUGCACUCUUGAAGUUCAGGCCGACUACACAAAGUUAAUUUCCAUGACUUAUUUUACUUUUUGAGUUUAUUGAGGUCAAUAAUAAAUUCCACAAUUUCUUAAAAACUAAAUUCAUGCACUGCUGAAGCGGUCAAAUUAUUCAUGUCUAUAGUCCACCAAAGGAAUGUCUUUUUGAAUAACGCUUUGUACAAGUGUGAUACAUGUCUGCUAGAUGUUUGGUAUGGUUGAGGCCUUUGUAAUUUGUACAACGCUAUGAUCAAGUGUCUGUCAAAACAAAUAUCAUUCAUGUUCUGCAUUACUUAAGUGUUUUGAGUAACUUGUUUCAUCUCUUUAUCAGGUACUGGAACAACCAUCUACGUUCCACUCUUACUGUCAGCUGGCAAGACCAACCAGGUCGUCAUUUGAAGAAAAAAUUGUGUGACUUUAUGAAACCUAAAUGCCAUCCAAUAUUCUUUGAUUCCAACAUCAAUUCGGCAUCUGUUGUGAGAUUAAAUAUCUACCAAGCAUUCUUGUUAUGUGCAAUGAAGUUCCAUUGUUAUGUUCGUGACUUAUCAUACAUCUGGAAACUUCGCCCUAGAUCGUAUGCUAACAUUAUCAAGAGAUCUUUGAGGUAUUCUUCUAUUCCGUUGUCUUUUAUCUUUUGUAAUUAUUUCAUCAAUAACAUGCAGUUUUCUGCAUAUAUGAAUAUGAUAGUUAAAAUUUAGUCAUCAUUUUUUAUUUUGAGACAUUAAAAUCUAGCUACUGGAUUUCCAGUUAUCCGAAAUCCAAAAUGUUCAAGUACAACGACAUUUCUAUUUCUCUUUCUUGGAGUCAUGUUGUUUUUGUUAUAUUGAUUUUAGGUAUAUGCAUGUGCUCAUAAAGAGAAGGAUGCGUUCUGUGCAUACUGAUUUCCACCCAAUUCUUCAACUGGAAAAGGGAGAGGUUGAAUGGCUUGGUUUAUAUGCUUAUAUCCAAGUACUGAAGAGAAAGCAAUCGCGACAUAAGGAGUUGAUCUCGCUGUUGGCGUCUAAGUUGUUAAAGCAUACAAUAUCGGGGUCUGUGUCUUCUCAACUAAGGUAUGCAGUCGACAGAUCACAUUCCUCUGUAAUGUGGAAGAUCAAGUAUUAGAAGACUCUUAGAGGUAUGCACGUAUUGCAUGAACAGACCAUCCUUCUGUCAUCAGUUCGCCAUCGUCCCGACUUCAGUAUUUGAAUUCUUCUCUCUUCUCUAUCUCCCCAUGUCAGGUACAGCACUUGAACAAGGACGAUGUAAGAACGGAGAAACCGCGAUUUAUCUGAGCGUGAACGUUUGUCGAGUGAACGUAGUGUCUGCAAUGUGGUACAAUUAGUGAAUUUGCCAAUCAGUCUCUUAUGUUUUUAGCAUCUUUGUGCUCUAUAAUAUUUUCUUUCCGAACUUUUGGGAAAAGGUUUUGUGCAGUACCGAGCCUGUCCAGAUUCUUGUGUGCAGGUGAAGCAACUCAUACCUCAAUUGUAAACGGUCCUUUUUUAUUUACGAGGCAAAUGACGUUGGAGAAUUGACUGCUGCUUUACGAGUUUGUUAUAUACUGCUAAGAGCUUAAGACAGUGGCGUCAACUCUCCUUGCAUCCGAGUUCCAAUUUUCUAACUGGAGUGCAGAUUAGAGUAUUAUGUUUUUUUAGUAUCAGUCUGUCAAAAAUAUAUUUCCCAAGUGAUGCGUGGAUAUUUGGAAGUACUUUUAAAAUGACUAAAAGUGCUUUUGAUACUAAUCUUUAAUAAAUGCAAGUGAAUUCUAAAAAAUGCUUUAAGUGUUUCGUGCAAGAAGCUCCAUGGUACUAGAACAACCAACGAGCUUAUUGAUGGGUGAACUAACAAUUGCACUUGAUAGAGCGAAUUUUGAAGGAUAAUGGUACUAAAUUGGUGAAAUUUGAAGUGCACUUGCAAACAUUAGAGCACUUCCAAUGUAGGAAGGCCUCCUAGGGCAAUUGCCUAUUGAAUCCCCCCUAGUGAAUAGUAAUUGUCUUUAAUGAACAGUAAUUGUCUUUUGCAUAUUCAUCCAUAAACUGAAUAGCCAUGGUAAUAGGAAAUAAAAUAUUAAUAUUUUUUAUUUUAUAAAAUAAUAAAAAAUAAUUUUAUUUGUAAUUUCGGAUAGGAUUUUUAAUCUGUCUCGUUGCGCUUCAUGAUUUUGGUGUGUGAUUUCUUAGGAUGGAUGGUGGGUUAUAUGGAUAGAUAUUUUGCCAUGGUAAUAAGGAUAGAUAUUUUGAUUUUGGUGUGUGAUUUCUUAGGAUGAAUGGUGGGUUAUAUGGAGGAAAAAUAAAGGAUUAGGUUGGAAACAAAAGUAUAUAGAAACUUUGAGAGAAAGAUUGAAUGUGGUUGAAAGUAUUUGAGAAAAUAUGAAAUUGUGGUGUAUGACGGAUGAUAAGGUAUUUAUAGAAAAAUAAAAUCUUUAUUUUUUUUAAUUUUUAUAUUUCUUUUCUCUGAUUUUUAAUUAAUUUUUGACAUGUUUUAUUAACUUAAUUAAUUUUUGUCGUUGGAUUAAAGAAAAUUUGAAAUCCAACCCUUCAGAUUGUGCCACGUGCUACAACGGUAACAUAACAUAUUUUUUUUUCCUUUUUUUUCUUUUUUUUUUUAAAUUUUUUAAAGACGAAUAACGUGGACCUUUGAUCUGGAAUCCAAUAGCUGAGAUUGUGCCACAUCAUCUAGUUGUUGGGGGAGGUUUGAAAUUUUUUUUACCGUUGGAAAUCUGACGGUCCAAAAAAAAAAUCCGUUGAAAUCCAACAGCCUUAAAGGUGCCACGUGGCACCAAGAACGGUAACAUAUUCGAAUUCAAACCACGACCCCCACCGAUUGAAAUCUAGUCGGUGACGCGCCCCCCAUGCGCGUGUGUGAUGCACGCGCCUGACACAAAUUUUUUUAUAACAUGGUUGAGAUCAUCCUUGUAUCAGAGAGCCCUCAGGCGCUUGGGCCUUGGACUAGUGCCUCACCUCUCACACGGCCCCCCCUUAGCCCAACCGCCCGCAUGGGCUGGAGCAAGGAAGCGAGGGGAUUGGGUUGAAUAGCUCCUCUUUCCACAGGGCUAUCAACUCCGUUGGAGUUGCUCUUACGAAAGAGCAAACCAAAAAGUACCAAAACGUAACUAACCCUGAUAAACUCUAAGGGGACUUGAAAGUGAGGCUCUUCUUAGACUUUUUGCCACUCAGAGUUUAACAUUAAUUAUCGUGUCAACAUUAUGAAAUAUUAUGCAAAAAAUAAAGCUGCUAGAGUUCAUAAAGAGUUACACUUUUGAGGGAGUGUUUUAGCAUUUCUAUUAACCCUUGUUGAUUCGCUUAGCCCACACGUGUCACACUCCGUCACAGUAGCACCAAAAAUCAGUGCCACGAGGUAAUAAUAUAAUGUUGCGUUCUCGCAUGGAUAGUAAAUUACCAUUUACUACCUUUAGAAGUUAUCAUUUUUCGAAGCCGGUGUUUGGCGAAGCAGCAGAAAGUGCAGACGACUGCGCGAGAGAGAAAAUCAGACGGAAAAACAAAAAUUAGGGCUUAUUAACAUGGCAUUUGCUACUCGAAUUCGAUCGAGCCUCCCUCUGGUCACCAAGAUUCUCAAAUCAGAUUCGCUCUCUGCCGCCGCCAACGGAUCCAUCGCCCACCGCUCCGUGCUUUGCCCUACUUUCAUCAAUUCUGAGGUGCUGAGAUUUCAAAUUUCGCAGAAAUACAUAGAACGGAUAAAACGCGAACAGUUAUCUUCGUUUUGGUUGUCUGAUCUAAUUUGUUUGCUUUCUCCGAUUCAUGUUCCCCCAAAAGAUAGGAUUUUUAUUGAUUAAUUUAUUAAUUAGUUUUGAUUAUAAAUUUGUAUUCGUACUUUGUGUCUAGAUAAUGAAAAAUGUGUGUUACUGGGACAAAAAUUUUGAUUAGGAUCGUUAGAAAUUUUAAAGGAUGCAAAUUUCAGAUUAAUAUUUAAUUAAUUUGUUGCUUCACAUUGUUUUCAACCAAACACAGCUUUAGCAGUAUAUACAGUGUGUAUCUGUGCGUGUCUUUUUCUUAAAGGUUUGAGAAAAUAAGCUUUACGAGGCCGUUAUUUGAAGUUUAGUCGAAUUUGUAGAAUGUGGAUUAAUUGUUUUCAUAUUUGUAUUUGUAGCCAUCCAGGAACUUUUCUACCGCGCAAGGGAAGAAGGAAGUGAAGGUUCAGGUAAUUCAUGGUUUUCGUUUAAAAGAAAAAUAUUUUCUUGGCAAGGACGUAGUGCGCUUAUUAUUGUACAUGGGCUUGAACAUUUCGUUUUUUUGUUUCUUCACUCUAUUUCUUUUUAUCUUGCAUCAAAUAAUGAACUAAAUCUCGGUUGAUUGUAGCUGUCAUUACUCUCUGUUCUCAUGCUUUACUGAAACUGGAUUGGUGCUUUUGAAUUUUGCAUUGGAAUCAAUCAUAUGUUGCCUGUUUUACUGUGUUGACGGAAUUCAUAGUUUUGUCUAUAUUUUUCACAAAGUAUGUUAUAUUGUGGUAUGCAUAAUUAAAAAAACUAUUAGGAUGUCACUUAGUUAUAAUGGGGCUUAGAAAAAAAUACAACAUUGUAAUUUAUUACAAAGUACAUUAAGAUUUAUAGACUUGUAGCUAAAUUAUGUGAAGUGUCAGUAAUAUAGAACAUAAGCUGAUGCAUGUGCGUGCUGUGUCCAAAUUUGCUUAUGCUAAUUAGGUCUGUAUUGAUUUGCUCUGCCAUGGUAUGCCAGGUGCCAUUGGUUUUGUUUGGGGGUUCUGGGAACUAUGCCUCUGCUUUGUACAUUGCUGCAGUAAAAGCUAAUGCUUUGGAGAAGGUUGAGUCUGAGAUUUUUGCCAUUGUUGAGGCUACGAAGAAAAGUCCUACCUUUUCUCAGUUCACAAAGGAUUUGUCAGUGCCAGCAGAUACUAGAGUGAAGGCAAUCGAUCAAAUUGCAGCUGAAGCUAAAUUUUCAGAAAUUACAAAGAACUUUUUGGGUAUGAUUAUUGUCUCAUUCUAGCUAAAAAUUGUGAUGUAUUCUUAUGUAUGUUUCAUGUUUUUUUUGCCUUUAUUUGUAUUCUGAUAUCAGCAGUGAUGAAUUUUACUUGCUCUGAAAAUUUCAUCUCUGUGUGCUGUUUUGUGAAAAUUGCAUUACUGUACUACUGUCGAAACAAAACGACCACCUGUUAACUAUGGGUUUUGUGUAUUGUAAUUGGGUUAUGCCAAAAGAAAGGGAAAGUAUAUUGAUUGUGGUCAAUAGAGUUAGUUUGUUCAGGAAUGGGAGGAGGAGACGGCUCUUGGACCCAGCACAUUUUUUUAUGUAUGUAGCUAUGCCAGACAAAUUAGAAAUUUUCAGUCAAUUGAGGCUAAUCCUACUUUUCUGGUAUAGUGUUAUCCCUUCCUUUGCAGUAGUGAUGGUAGAAGUCGCUAAAGUGCUGGCAUUCGUUGCUAUCAUUACUGUCAUAAUAUGUGUCUUUUAAGGCACUCUGAUGCGCUGUUUUGCAAAAGUUGCAUCCCUCUUGGGUAACUUUUUUGUUUUAAAACCCUAAGGCCAAACGUCUUGUUUGGCCUGGAUUCUUUAGAACAUUAAGAGAGAGAGCAUCAGACCAAUCAAAAGGAAAGUCAGAUGUGCUCCCUCCUAAUAGAAAGUAAAAAACAAUAGAGCCUAAUCCCAAAUCAUUAUCCUCUUUUGGCAGCCUCAAACCCAAAUCCUAGGUGGUUCUAAACCUCAAAACUCUAACUGCAUUGCAUUUUCUUUUCUUUAUUCAUUUGCGUGGGCAAUUUGUUUUCUAUCUGAAGUAAUUGGGUGAAGGUUUACUAAUCAACCAUAGUAAGCGGGAUUUGGUUGAACUGAUUUGAAAGAAUCUGAGAUAUUUACAAUCACCAAUGAAGUGGGGUAUUUUUAGACAUGCAUCUAUUAUGAAUAUACAAUGGAUGUGUUAGCAGCUGUAAAAUGAGUUUGGGUUCAGAUUUUGAUUUUUGUAAAUUGUUUCUACUUGACUCUUGAGAGGAUAAAACGUCUUGUGUUACACUUUGAAGGAUUGUUAUUUGUUAUUAUUGUAAUUAAUAUCAUUGUUGUUUGUGUUGUUGCUAUUAUUAUUAUCACCUGUAGCCAGACAUAGGACUUGUUCAUAUGGAAUUGAACGUCGGUAAAUAUAAUUAUCUGCAUUUUAUAUGAACACUAAAAACUUGACCGCUAUUUUAGUAAGAUUUUGACGUGUAUGUGCAAGUGCAAUGCACUAUUCACAUUAUAGCUUUAAUAACUGUCUUCGCUGAAGGUAUUCUAUCGUGUAUGCAUGCAUGUUCAUCAAAUUAAAUUUUUUUUCUCUUUGAUCUGUACUCAACUUUAAUCUUGUUUUUCUUUGGAAUUUUCUCAUGGUUGCUUAUUUUCCCUUAUUUUGGCUGAAAUGCAGAGUCGACAUGUUUUGUUUUUAUAUCUGAAUUCUCGUCCCUUCAUCUCUCACUCUCUCUCUCUCUCUCUCUCUCUCUCUCUCUAUAUAUAUAUAUAUAUAUAUAUAUAAAAAGGUCGUACCCAGUGCACAAGGCUCCCGCUUUACGCAGGGUCUGGGAGAGGUAAAUGUACGACCUUUUUCUAUAUAUAUAUAUAUAUAUAUAUAAUAUAAAUGUAUCUACAUAAAUAUAUAUUAUUUUAUUUAUUCAUGCAUCUGUGUUUUCUUCUAUUAGUUGUCUUGGCUCAGAAUGGGAGGCUAAGGAACCUUGAAACCAUAUCAAAGAGAUUUGCGGAGUUAACCAUGGCACAUAAGGGAGAAGUGAAAGCUAUUGUCACAUCUGUCAUUGUAAGUUGUAGUCCUUAAAUGGUAAAUUUAUUUUUUCUUACGAGCAUAACAGACUGCGUAAACGAGGACCUACUGCCAGGGCAGAGGGAAAGUUAUAUGACUAAAAAAAUACAGAAUGAUGAAACAUAAAUUUUACUCCAUAUUUUCCUGUCUAAUUGUUAUACUGUGAUCAGCCCCUUCCUGCUGAAGAGGAGAAAGAAUUGAAGGAGACACUGCAGGAAUUAAUUGGACAAGGGAAGAAGGUCAUUCUUGAACAGAAGGUAAGUAGUGGUCUUUCCGCCUGCUCUUUAAUUCACAAAUCGCUGUUACAUUGGAUGGAAAUCUGAUUCUCUGUUUUACGCUCUAGAUUGAUCCUAGUAUAUUGGGUGGGCUCGUGAUAGAGUUUGAUAAGAAGGUAUUUGACAUGUCCAUCAAGACUCGGGCACGCCAGAUGGAGAGGUAUUUGCGGGAACCCGUAAACUUUGACAACCUCUAAAAGGUGCUUGCAGACUGAGGCUGCGGUCUCCUCCAUUUCCUGUCUGUUAUAGUCAAAAUUCUAUAAAGGAAAACUUGUUUACUUUUGUUGCUCGAACCUUUGUUUAAGAAGAUGGAAAACUUGAUCGGGAUGCCAUCUAUUUGCGAAUAAAAGCUUCAUUUUUCGGAUGUGUUGUGGGCUAACUGAGGGACUUCCUAUUCUGUAUGUUUUUCUUUUUCACAUUUGAAGUUAUAAUUUGUUCAAGCUCUGUUCAAUUGCUUCACAAGUAUUUAUAUAGAGAUGUUGAUUGGCUGUGUUUUACAAACCUUGCUUAAUAAGUAACUAGCAUAUAGGCACACACAAAGUGUGUGAGAAAUUUUUUUAUUUUUGUUUUUGAAAUAGGAGAGAGGAAGAGAGUGAUAGAGAAUGUGGGAGUGUAAAGUUUUUUUAUUUUUUAUUUAGAGAUAUGUUAGGAUUACAUGUAGGUGAUGCUUUGAAGAAAAAAAAACUGUAUAAUUCAGUUGUGUGAAAUUAUAGUUGUGCCUCAUAUUUCUUAUUCAUGUUCUCUUUUAAUUAGAAGGUUAAAUUGGUAAUUUCAUAAGAUUUUGGUUGACAAUGAAUUUUAUUAAUUAGUAGAGAUGUGGUCAUUAAUGAAAUGUUAGUGUGGAUAAUGGUUUUAUAACGCAGGUUUUUUCGCACCACUGUAUUGCUAGUCAACCGACAAUGGACGAGCCCAACCAUGAGUUUAGCUAUGGUCUUUUUACUUAUGGGUUGUCUAUUUAUUAGGUUCUAUCAUUGCUGGAUCGAGAUUUACUUUGGAUAUUUGUGUUCAAAACCUAAGGAUCCUGAAAUCCGGACCACUCAAUUUUAAUUCUACGGCUCUCAUCAGUUCAUCUCAUUGUCUUAUCACACAAAACUUCAAAAAUUUGAAUGCUUAGAUCUCUCUCUUGAAUGGCUCCGAUUUUGGGGUCCUUGGGCUUGGGACAAUAAAAUCCGGAAGGGAUCUCAAUCAUUAUCAUUGAUCUUCUGACUAUCGCAGAACUCCAAUCUUCUCUUUGCUGCAAAAUCUUCGAAUCUAAAACACUCUCAAUCAAUUGUUCCAUUUUCAACGCUUUGAGGGAGAGCUGGGUAGGUUGCUUUGGUAGUCCGAUGACUUUGGCCCUAAUAUUCCUUCUCGCCUAAUCCUCUGUUGCCCUCGCUAUGGUCAUUAGCGAAAAAAAUGUUCUAUUCUCCCUAGCGUGGGAGUAGUUCUCCUGCGACUGCAGGAGGCUUUCUACAUUUUUUGUUUAAUUUGGGUCUCCGUCUCUCGCUGUGGACAAAAACCGAUCAUAAUUAUGGAAGGUAAAACACGUCGGCUUUAAUGACAUGACAACGUUGACAACGACUGCAGGAGGCUUUCUACAUUUUUCCAAUCGGGAUGUUUUUGGCUUUCCCCAAUUAUCGUUUUCUUAGUGUUUCAGUUUGUUCGUUUAAGAUGGUACCAAAAAAAGGAAAAAGUCAGAGAGUGAUUACAUGUUUUUUUUUCUUUUUUCGGAGCGUGAUCUUGUACUUGCUUGUGUGAAUAGUACUAAGCAGCCAAAAAACUUUCCUCUUUCAGAUCUUGUAUGAACUUUUUGCCCUCAAACCUUUUCUUCCCCUAAAAAGUGUGAUGAUAGAAACUCCACCAUCUAUCUAUCUACAAACAAAGUUAUCCAAUUGUGGGGAUCAAACCUCAUAAAUCUCUCCACCUUUUCCUUUUGCUCAUGAGUUCCCCGAGCAUCGCUUUUUCAGCCAUGAUUUCUCGAAGACCUUGGAGAAUUUGGUCUUUUAUGAACCCAGCCAGAGAUUUGAAGACACAGAUAGAUAUAUUGCCUCUCAAAUCUCAAUGAUACAUUCACUUUUUGUAAGGUUUUUGUGGCCUGUAGGACAAGUACAAGGUGUAAGGGUGAAUAUUAUGGAUGAUGAGGUGAGUUGGUCUUUCUUGUCUUUGUAGCCAAGUGAAGUAGUAGAGUAGGGCAUGUUUGCUUGGGACAGGCUCAAAAGCAUGAGAUAUACGUAUAUGAAUGGAUUAUUCUAUCCUUCCUGGGACGGCUGUAGAAAAGAUAAGGGGGGCUUUCUACAAACAAUUGAGUAGCUUGAGAGUUUUGCACUCUCUCACUUUUUCCCUGAAAAAGAGUGACAAAAUUUUAAAGUUUUUGGAAAACAAACAUAAGUAACUGAAUUUUCUUGAGAUUAUCUUGAGUUGAAUACGACUGCUUCUGAAUAAUCUGAUUUGCCAUCUGGCUUCGAAGUUGGAAAAUGACUGGGAAGUCGCAUCUCUUAACAUGCAGGAACAGGAGGAUUAGGUAAGGAUACAACAUGGGAUAGAGAAAUCUAUGAGUAUAUUAUACACUUUUGAUGGCUACAAAUCAUGAAUGAUUCCCGCAGUUAAUUGUGAGAUAUCUUAGAGUUAUUACGAAUUUAGAUACAAUCAUACACAGGAUCAAUAUGAUCGAUAAUCCAAAUUCACAUCAGGGCGAUGUUCCCAGACAGUUUAUAAGAGAUCAUAGACUUUAUGUACGAGAAACAAAACAGGGAAAGAGCCAACUUGAUGGCUUAGUUCAGAUGCACGACUGCCUAACAAGAGAACAUAUGACAUUACAUACGUAAGAAAUUUUUUAAGAAAAUUAAAUAAAAGAAAAUGCUGUUAAUAUAAUUAAGGAGAAACUCUUGAUAAAUCGUAAUUGUUAUUUAUGCAAACGCUGUGCAAAUGUUGCAGAACAUUGAUGGCAUGUCCAAUCAAAAUCCUUCAGCUAUAAAACGAAAAAUGAAAGUAAGAUCAUGAAUUAUCUAUAUCUGGUGAAACCAUCUCUACACUAUGCUGCAUAACAACCUAUCUUUUUUCUUCUCUCCUUUUUCUUCAUUUGGUUUGAUUUCUUGUGUUAGGGUUUAAGCUUUCUUUUUUGGUCGCAGGUUUUGAAGCUGUCAUUUACUUUGAAUCUGGCUAUGGAAACUACUUGAACAAUGUGUUGUUUUGUUACAUUCCAGUAGUACUUGGGGUUGUAGACAUAUCAUGUUUAAUAAUUUUAAUUGAAUUUGCUAGCUGCGAAACCUUAACUUCUAAUAUGAGAUUGAAAAUGCAUAAUUUUGACCAAACAGAGAACAACUGUAAUUGAUUUGAUCCGAAAGUGAGAGUUUGCUUCAAAAGCAUGUUUAAUUGACAUGAUUGAGUUAUCCUCAAUAAGUUUCAUGCAACCACUUAAACAAUCCAUAACCAUCACACAAAAAAAAUUAAGUAAACUACAAAUUACCAGUGUCAAAAGUGCAACACUUUGCCUAGUGUACAAAGAGUACUCUUGUACUCUCUCUCUCUCUCUGCAUAUAAACUUCAAUUUCACGUGUAUGUUGAUAGAGGGAGAGGGUUUUUCUUCUUGUCUUUGACUCUUUAUGGUCUUUUUCGAUUCAUUUUUCUUCACUCACAAGGUAAUCCUAUAUCAUCUUUUGUAUACUAGACAUCUAAAUUUUUUGCUUCCACUUCACAUAAUCUCUCUCUCUCUCUCUCUCUCUCUCUCUCAUAUGGGAAUGGAGCCAUGGAGGUCCCCCUCCAAUCCGUUUUCCACUCCACCCAUCGACCAACAAACAUAUUAUAUCUCUCUAUCUCUCUCUCAAAUUUUGAUAUGCAUAUUUUAAGCAAACCCCACAACCAUCACCAUCAUCAUCACCAUUGCCACCCCAUGAAGACAUCCCAUCAUCUUAUAUAUCAUUCUUGUAGAUCUCCAUCCAUCACAUUAACUACUUUAACCAAAAAAACCCCAAGAAAACAAGUCCGCUUGCAAUUACAAUGAGAAAGCCGGAGUCUAUUGGGAAAGACGAUGUCGACGGAGCGAAAACUAUUAACAAGAAGAAGAUGAUGAUGAGCAAGCUUAGGAAGGGGUUGUGGUCACCAGAGGAAGAUGAGAAGCUGAUGAUGUACAUGCUAACCAAUGGACAAGGCUGUUGGAGUGACGUUGCAAGAAAUGCUGGUCUCCAAAGAUGUGGAAAGAGUUGUCGUCUUCGUUGGAUCAAUUACUUGAGGCCUGACCUCAAGCGUGGUGCCUUUUCACCCCAAGAGGAAGAGCUUAUCAUCCAUUUCCAUUCAAUUCUUGGCAAUAGGUACUCUCUCUCAUUCUCUCGGUUGUAAUGUUUAUAAGCACAAAUAUUACAUAUUAAACACCUGUAAUUUGAAAAUAUUUUAAGUCAGACAAUUGUUUAGUUUUGGUUUUUAGAAUUAUUUCCAUUGGUAUGCCAACUUACAGAGGAUAUAUUUUUCAGAGAAAAUAAUAAUUUGAAUUUUUUUCAGCAUCUAGGGUUGUAAUGUUUUAUUUCCAACGGUUAGACUUCACUUCUGUACAAAACAUUUAAGUAAUAAUUAAGUUUACAUGAUACAACAUUAUACUUCAAUGCGCACACAUUUAUUUAUUUUUAUUAUGAAGGAAAGGGAGAGGGUUUAAACUAUUACAAUAAUUUAGGGAGGAGAAAGUUUCAAAUCCAUGACGCAUGAGUGGAAACUCAACACUCUAUCCACUAGGAUAUUGAACCACAUAUCUUAUAAUGCGCACAUAUAUGUAAAUGCACAUUGUGUAUUGUAGGGUUUAAUUAAAUUCUGACGGCCAAACUGCAUGCACACUGGAUGAGGAAAAAAAAGAGAUGCCUGAGGGUGUUUUUGCCAGUUUCAACGGAUGCGGAUAUAAACUUGCACUAUUGUGUGCAUGUAGAUUUUAGGGUACCAUUAUAAUUAAUAUAUACUUCACCAUAGGGUGCAUGCAUGUUUAACCCUUGAAAGUAAUCCUAAACCUAAGUAUUUUGUUUGUUUUCUACCGUGUUUCUUUCUGAGCUCAAUUGGGCAAAUAGUGUGCACACACACUCACAUACUAUAUCGCAUAAGUGCUUAAGCAACUAAACAUCCAUGGCAUUUCAAGUCAUGCAUUUUGUUUUAGUCGUGCACAUAUAUAUGGUUCAGAAUUGAUGUGUGUAUAUAAACAAACUGAAAUUAACGACGUGCAUACCAAUUAGCUAUUGAUUUAGUGGUGCUUUCUUUUUCAAAUGAUGAAAACAAAAAACAAAAUGUGAUGAAGUGUUGUAUCGGUCUUAACUUUUCUUUGUCUGUUUUUAUUAUGUCUUAAUUAAUCAGUUAUAUUUGUUUUUCUUGUGAUUAAUUUAGGUUAUAUUUGUUUUUCUUGUGAUGAAUUUAGGUGGUCACAAAUUGCUGCACGUCUUCCAGGACGAACGGACAAUGAAAUAAAGAAUUUUUGGAAUUCAGCCUUGAAGAAAAGGUUGAAAAAUAACAAUAUGUCCACGUCCACAUCGUCACCAAACGAUAGUGAUUCCUCUGAUCCCAGAGAUCCUGUCGUUGGAGGAACGUUUAUGCCUAUGCAUGACCAUGACAUGAUGACCAUGUACAACAUGGACUCAUCAUCCUCAUCAUCCACAUCCAUGCAAGCCAUGGCCGUUAUCAGCAACACCUUAUUCAAUCCCUUCUAUAUGCUCGACAAUCGUUAUGACAUGGCCCAUGCAGACGACGUCGUUGUAAAUCCUACAUGUUUCCCACACUUACCAAACAUUGGAGAUAAUCAGGGGCAUUAUGGGGAUUAUGGAAACUUAGAGGGUGGUCAUAAAAUGGGGUUAGAAGGUGACCUUUUUCUUCCUCCACUCGAAAGCAGAAGCAUUAAGAAUAAUCUGAAUGGUCAAUUAGUAGCUGACAAUAUAAGCAACAAGAAUAGUAGUAUUAACAACUACCACUUCCAUAAUAGUUGCUUUAAUAACACGGAACUGAUCGGGUUUAAAGUAGAUGAAGAGGAGGACAUGUUUGGAUUUGGAAAUAUUAAUGGAGGGCAAGGAGAAAACGUAAGAGUGGGAGAAUGGGAUUUUGAGGGUUUCAUGCUGGAUACUUCCUCCUUUCUCUCUUAAAGAAGAGAGCAGAGCUACGUAAAUCCGUAUAUAGCUAAGGCAUUUGCAAAACAAUUUUUUGGCUCUUGUUUACUUGGCCAAAUAAACCUUUAGUGCAUAUAUGAAAUAAUAUUGUUCCUUUAGACAUCAGAAAUGUCAAUAGUGAUGUAAGUAGAGAAUAGAAUAAGAGGACUGUUUUGUAUACAAGAUAAUAAAAAUUUGGAGGUGGAAGUUGGUAGUGAAAGAUGAGAUGGAUGUAAUCGCAUUAUGUAAACAAACGUUGCUAAGGAGCAAAGUAGAUUCAAUAUAUUCAAUGUUCUCUGCCUCUCUCUUAUCUAUUUUUACUUUUUUAUAUACAACGAAAUUCUGCAUUAAAGGAGUGAGGUUUGGAUUAGCCUACACAAUUGGUCAUCCAUAAUAAUUUUGUAUCGAACUCGCCAAACCUAAAACCUCCAUCUCAUCAGUCGAAAGAAAUACCAUUAGAUUGAAAUACCAAAAACCUCCCUCUCAUAUUUAUUUUGAAUUUAUAUAUUUAAUUUAAGCUAAAUUGUAACGUGUUCUUUAUUGUUACGGGUGGACUAAGCAGCUCUUGACUAUGGGUGUUACAAAUUAAUUCAUAUAUAAGUGGUAAGGAUGAGAGGCUAACCAUCGUUGAUUAUUCUAAGAAGCUCUUUACUCAUCAGCCUUGAAGGGAGUCUUUUAUGUUCUGCCUUAGUAGUUUGAUAUCCUAGGCUUGAUCAAGUAGUGACUUACUUAAUAUUACUAAAGAAUUAAUAAGGAUGAUAUUAAAGGUAACCUUUUUAAUUUAAUAUUAAGUAGCUUAAGUUUGAUUUUCCUUGAACAAAUUAUAUAUUUGAGACGUGUUUUUUUUCUCAUACAAGCUCAAUAUAACUAUCUUUAGGAUGUAAUUUUUUCUAGGUUAGUUGAGCAGUAUAUAUGGAUAUUGCCUUGGACUUCAUGUUGCUGCAACAAUGAUGGAUUAGAGAUUGUAUGAUUCAAGUGUACCGAAUGGGCAUUGCAUACAUUGUGUUGAUGACUAUGUUGGAAGAAAUAAUAGCCUUUAGUUUUCCUAGUGUUUGGUUUGUUGGGCCAAGCCUGUUUUAGGUAUCCUGUUUUCUUAUUUUUCAUUAAUAAAAUAAUGUUAAUAGUUAUAUUUCGUUUGUUCUGUCAUUUUUAACUGCAUAUCCUUGUGGGAAUAGGUCACUGCACCCUGCACUUGCUAAUUGAGUUCUCACUACUAUUUGUCUAGUCAAUACAUUGAGAAGCGUGGCCCGGUGCCACGAUAAGUUCGAGGAGUUGAGGUGCCGGCUGUGAAGAGCUGUGGAAACUGCUUGGAAGACUUAAGGUAGCACGGAGAAGGUAUAGAAUGGUAAUAGAAGCUUAGUUUUCUUAGUGGCCUAGACUAUAGCUAAUUAAUCCCUCGAUUUUUCACAGUUCCUCGAUGUUUCACUCAGAAUGUUUUUCUGGGACCGAAUCCUCCGUGUUUGAUGAAUAAAAUCUGAAUUUAUAUGAUGUAUGAAUGCCUAUAACUUGUGAUGAACAAAUGGUUUGUUUAGUUGUUUUGAAAUGUGAUUGUGUCAUAAUUCUCAUUUGCAGACUAUGAGACAAAAACAAAUCUACCACGGUUGAUGUCCGUGCAUGGGCAUUGUGCCUAUUAGGAAUAUGAAUGUGAUAAAAAAUCUCAUUUUCUAUAUUCCGUAGUAAAAUUGUCAUGGUAGAUGAGCUAAUGUCUUAUAAGAUUGUUGUACUUAAUUUAAUAAGAUUGUUGUACUUAAUUUAAUUAUCACUGUCGUGGUGCAAAAGCAAAAACUACCCGCAUAUUGGAUUGGAUUCGUAUAUCUAUGUCAAACUCAAAUAUGUUAUCAAACUUUAAUUCUACAAUCAUCAUUACCAUAUAUGGCCAACCUUCUACCUCAAUCCAUCGUUUCCCUUUGAAUGAAAGUAAUAUACGUCUAUUCACUAUUUAACUACCAUUUUUCUUCCCUUUCUCCUACUCUCAUGAGUACUGCCUAUGGGAACUUUUAUAUUUUAUUUCUUCUGUUUUGUUAAAGAAACAGAAAAUUAGAGGACCAUUAUUACAUUAAAAUAUAUAAAGGGAAAUUCUUGGGUUGAGGGAGGGGGUUGGGGGAACAUUGGCAGUGUCAUGCAAUCAUGUUUAGAGGAUCAUUAUUAUUUUUACAAUGUAAUAAUAUUACAUUAAGAUUAUAUAUAGUUAAUAACACAUAAUGAUGUUGGAGGUUAUAUUGUGAAAGUCCUUUUACAGUGUCAAUGUAGGUUAUUAUACUUAGACGGGACUGUAUUACGCUAGCAAUGUUGAUUGCACCAUGGACGUCUUGUUACAAUAUAGACAGGUUAUGACCUCCCUUCCUUAAUGUAUAACAGAGUUACAACAUAAUGUUAACAUUUAACAUGUGAAUUACAGGAAAGGUAAUGUAACACUAUAUAUUCGUUCCAAUUUACACUCAAAGGUUACAUAAUAAUCAUAAUGUUCCUUUAUUAGUAGAAAUAAUGGUGUUCAUAAACGGGUGUGCUUUUCCCCAAAUGGUUAUUUAAUAUUCUUGCAGAUCAAAGAUAUAAACAUUUUCAUAAGUAACAAAUAAAAUUCCAUCAUUUGAGGAAAAAAAAUUACACCGAAUAAGGUUAAUAUUACUAUAAUAAGGUUGGCUUUUACGUUGUAAACAUCAAUCUACUGUAAAAACAUAAUUGCAUUACACUAUCAACGUUCAAAUUAAAUGAUACCGCUGUUUUUUUUUAUAUUAAAAGGUACCGCAGACUUACACUUGUUUAAUUGAUGAGGAUUGAGGAGGGAGAGGAAAUACUUGGGAGUGGAUGAACUUAAUCCCAGAAUAAGAGUUGGUGAUUUGUGACUAGCUAUGGCAUUCUCACACCUGGAUAGGGUCAACCAAUGGUAUACAGGUACUGCCUUUUUUCCAAUACAACACACAGGGACGUGUCGUCGAGGAAGUAUGAAUUAACGCAUGUUCUCAUGCCUUUUACUGUUGUUGAAUUAAAGAAGAAUUCGGUGGAAAGCAAAGACUUGGACUUGAUCAAAAGGUUAUCCCGUAACUUUCGCAUUGGAUUCGAAAUGCAUAGAGAAUUGGCUCCAGUGACCAGUGAGCACGGGCAGGCUCAUUAGCGUGGCUCAAAACAAAUAAUUAUGUGUUAUCACGCUGUUAUGCCUUUUCAUCAUUCAGCAGAUUUUAUUUGCUUAGGUAGGGACAUCGAAUUAAUUUAAUUAAAUGGAAGUUUUUCCUCUUUCUUUUUGACAUGACAGUAAUUAGAGUUAGUCGAGGUUGAAUAGCUUUCGAUGACGGAUUAAUCGAAACUAUCAAAAGUAAUUAAAAAGAUAGAAAUUGUUUUUUUUUUAUGAAAAAAUAAAUUGAUAUUUAAAAGUAUCAAAAGUAAUAUUUUCAGAAAAAAUAAAAAAAUAGUUAUCUGUAAGCAUAGUUGUCGGGUAACAUAUAACCCAUUAAGGCUAUGUUAAAACAAUUGGUAUGUGGAAACGAGCAAAAGUUUAGAACUUCAAUCUACAUUUGAACUCCAGCCCAUAGAUGUAUUCUUUGGGGCUAUCAACUCUGCUUUGAUGUACUAUUUGAUCCUAAGGCCAAAACAAGGUCGGCCCCGAGAUUUAGGAGCUUGGGGCGAGCUACUAAAAUGGGGGCCUUGAUAUUUUAGGCACUUCAAUCCAAUGUACAUUGAUAUAGGUACUUUAAAUUUAAAAUGAAACAGUUAUAAGACAUACCUUAAAUUUAAAAUUUUCAUGAUUGAAAUGAUAAGCCAUUGGAGUAUUUAAUCUGUGGUGAGGGAUGGCUCAAUUUGACUUAAUAUGUCUACUAUGUAUGGAAAAAGUUGGAAUCAUAGAUGACCCCGGUUUUGUAUGCAAAGUCUUGUUUGACUUUGAAUGUAACUUUCGAUUUAAACAUUGACUUAAUCUUUCGAGUUAAACAUUGACUUAAUCGCUCUCUAAUGCAGAAAAAUUAAAAAGUUAAAAGUCAAAUUUGAUUAUGCAUGCAUUGAAAUUACAACUUGCACCACCACAUUUGAAGUCAAAUAUAAGUUAUAACUUACAGGUUUUGUUUUUUAUAUUGGAGAUCGUCUGAGAAAUUAAUUUUCAAGUUGGUUGAGUUGUAAUUUUUUAUGACCAUGCAUGGGUUGUAUAGAGGUACAAUGAAGUAAUGCUUGUGUUUAAUACAAACGAUAUUCUUAUUUUAAACUAUAUUUAUAUAUUAAGAGAAUGAGGGUAUGAACCCAAGACCCAAUAAGUUGAAGAGUUAAAUGAAGUAACGUUCUUAAAAGAGAAUAGAAACUAAAUGUGAUGAUGAUUAUUAUUAUUUUGUUGUUUGUAAUAAUUAAAAAUUGUUUGAUUACUGAUUGUACUCAAUGGUUUCAGUCUUUCCUACAAAGCGAAGCAUUCUUUAUAGCCUAGCCUACUUGGCAAGCCAAACCCCACACCACAAAAGAAAGCAACUUCUCUCUCUCUCUCUCUCUCUCUCUCUGCAGUUUAAAAACCCUUCAAAAACCCCAUUCCCAUGUCAAGGGUUAGAGCUCCAAAUCACAUCUCUCUCUCUCUAGAUAUUAUUUAUGGAGCAUGAUCAGGAAGAAGAAGCUCUAUUUCAUUCAUACCCUUGUCCAUACUACGUGCAAAGCCCAUCCGCCAUCUCCCAUUCCAACAGCGCGGAUAUUCGAAACACCAUCCUGGAAUCCGAAUUUCACUCCCCAACACGACCCAAUCCAGCAAACCGGACUCUCCACGAAGAGGCCUCUCGCUCCACUCUAUCACGCUACUCGUCCUCUCGUGGAUCCAGUCACUCAUUCCAGCACCAAAAAAGGAUCUCCUUUGAUGCACGUAGUAACGGCACAGGGACCGAUAAUUGCAAAAACCGUUUGGUUAUUGUCGUCAAAGGUGGUGGUUGUGGCAAUGGCGGUGAUGAUCACGGUGACAAUGAAGAUGAUGAGGAGGAGUAUUGUUAUGGGCUGGAGAACAGAUCGGGGUGGUGGAAGAGGAAUUGUUCAUAUCGAAAUUCUGAUUCGUUUGCAUGGAUAUUUUUGCAAAUAAGUUGGAGGGCUGUGUUGAGUUUGUGUAUUGCACUGCUUGUGUUUUACGUUGCUACAAAGCCCCCACCACCCAAAGUGUCUAUUCAGGUACGUUCAAAUAUUCAACAAUCUCUCAAAAAAAAAAGUACUCAUUUUAGUUUCAAAACUAUGCGUAUAUAUUGAUUCUAGCUAUCUUAUCUAUUAUAAAAGAUUAACCAUAAUAUAUAUGGCAUGAUGGUUUUGCAAUUGGCCUAGUAGCAUGCUUGCGACAUAUUAUUAUGGUGGUAAUAUAGGACAUAUAUAUAAUUAUGGCGAAGAGAAUAUAUAAUACCUAAUGAUGAACUAUGAAGUGUACGUACGAUCACAAAAGUAUUCUAACACAAAAUAUUAGCUUAUAUACAGGUAGUUUACUUCUUGUUUGAUUUUUUAACUUCUACCUAAACCUAAAUAAAAAAGAAUUUAAAAUAUUAGCCUAUAUGGCUAUAUGCAGGUGUUUUAGUUAACUAAUUAGUUCCUAAUAUUGAAAAUAUAAACGAAAUUAGCCCUUUGUAAGAUCAGGUUAUCUUUUCUACCUUAAAGUUGUACUGUUGCGUAUGAAGAAAAAGAAAUGUGAUUAGGUUGGAAACAGGCCGAACAAGGAAGAAGAACAAUCAUGAGACUCAAAGCACAAAGGUAGACAUAGACUUGGCUAAGUUAGCUAGAGUAGUGUGUGUACACCACUUUAAGUCAAUGAAGAAAAAAUUCAACCAUCAACCGCAUCACGUGGUCUACAAAAUAUGGUCUAAAAAAAUAGUGUUUCUAACAUUUUCCUUCCCUUUUUGCACAAGUGAAUCUUGUUUUCCUUAAUUUAGAUGAAUUUAGUGUAAAUUAUCUUAUUACUUAUAAGUAAAAAAAAAUAAAUAAACUUGAAUCACAAAAAAUAAUUAAAAAAAAACAAAACAAAUAAACUUGAAUCACAAAAAAAAAAAUAAAUAAAUAAAACAAAACAAUUAAACUUGAAUCACCUAAAAUGGCUCACAUAUUGCAAAAAUAUUCUCUUGGUGAAUACAUGAUCAAGAAAUGCAUAAUGACUCGCCCGUAGGCUACGUUUGAUGUGGAGGAAAGAGAACUUGGGAAUGAGAGAGUGUUCCCAAUUCUGAUGUUUGGCAAGUUCAUGUUUGGGAUAUGAUUUUCUCCCAUAGGAAAAUAGGGGAAAGUGCAACCUUCGCUCACCUUAGUAUUCACUUUCCUUCCCCAUGAAAAAAAAAAAAAAAUUGACUGCUACCAUUUUAUGGCAAAUAUGUCCUCGAUCGUUUGGCAAUUUAAAAUGCUAAUUUUAUACCAAAAAAUUGGCAUUUUCUACCUACCUACUAAACGUAGGAAAAAAAAAAUUCGAAUUUACUUUCUCCCAAGUAAAGACAUGGGGAAUCAUUUUCCAUGAAUUCGUUUUCCCAUACUAAAUGUAACACUAGAGUUGAUAUAAAAGGUUAAUAUUAAAACAUAAAGCACAUCCAUGUAUUCUCACACUUUGAUAACAAAUUUAUAUGCAAGCCACUAUGAAUCUUUGUCCAGUGUGUAACCAACUGAACAUAACCUCAUAACUUGGGCUUCUAAUUAAUUGACCCCGAACGUCUCCCUGAAUAUUGUUAAAGACUCGUGACCUUAAAAAUACAAAACUUACGUAGCACAUAUGCCGAGUAACUAUAAAUUAACGACGUCUUUUUUGUGAAAGUAGGCAUGCCAACUUGCAACCGAGUUCAGUCGGGCGAGUAAAAUAGAUGUGGUGUUGCAUACUAACUUCUGAAGCUGAGCGACUACGGUCGUGAGAAUAUAAGUGCGCUGAAUCAGUAUCAGGCUAUAGAGGCAAAUAUUCAGCCACCUGAGUGUCGAACUACAAAGUGCACCUAAGAGUAACCAAUCAUAUAACACUUCACUUCGCUGGAAAGUUAAUGAAGUGACCUUUUUUGGCAAAGGAAUUGAAGAUUCUUCGAUACUUGAGACUUGUAUAGAUAACCGACUGACUAGUGUUGUUGCAUCGAACUGAAGGUACUUCGAGGGCGAUUAGUUUUAUUGCUCUAGUGAUGUUUGUCAACCCAAUGAUGUUCUGACGAACUGAAUAUGAAGGUUAGGAUAAUUAGUAUUUAUCUCAAAGUUGCGAGAAGAUUUCGCGUAGAGCGUUUGAAAAAAAAAUUCGCAUAGAGCGUCUGAAUAGUUUGAUUGUUGAGUUCAAGGGGCUUGUCAUGGUGCAUAACCAUUCUAUUUAUAGAAAGACUUCUCAGCCACGGAGCUUCUCCUGAUAAGCAUUCACCAUCCUUAGCCAAAUAAUUACUCUUAUACACCAUUGAAACAAACUAUUCAAUUAGCAUCUAUGAUUACAAUCCAGGCUAAGGAUAAGACCGAAUUGAAGUUUGGCUGAGGAUAAGCCAUGCAAUCCCAUUAGCAUCCAUGAUUAAUUAGUUUGGCUAAGGAUAAGCCCACGCAAUCCCACUAGCAUCCAUUGAAGACCGCGUGCACCAUGAUUCCAAUUCAAUCCACCUUCGUAAAAAUCCCAUGCUAAUUUGAUUUGAACUGUACUACGCGAAACCCCUUUUAUCUUGCAUAAAAAAUUUAUUUAUCAUGAUUAAAAAUCGCAAUAAUAUCCCACAAUAACUAAUUCAUUGUACAUUUCUAAUAGUCUUAAACUCUGUUCAUUUUACGGUCUCGAUUGCAUGGUGCGAUCACCAAUAACGUAAUAUUGAGUCCAAAUACUGAUCGGCCGAAACGUAAAUUUCAGGCCCAAACAGACUCAAAAAUCUGCCACCGUUAAUAACUUCAACUAAUGUUCAUGAUGCUCACAAAAGAAAAAAUCGUAAUGUUCUAAAUACAAUGGGAAAGCAAAGCUUAUUCCCAACUCCCAAGCAAAACGAUUAAAGCCACAAAAAAAACCAAUUAAGUGCAUCUAAUGAACUAAAUCAACAAAAAAAUAAAAAUGUUUGUAUUUAUUCAUAACAUUCACAAGAAUUGAACGGAGAACUCAAGAAUUCUGAUUGAUAUUUUCUCCUUAAAAUGAUUAAAGUCAUAAAAGUCAAUAGAUAAUUAAUACAAGCUUACAAAUUCAAAAAGCAUCAUCAAGGCAAAGAUGUAAAACUGAAUAGGUAAAUAACAUUUUUAAUUUUCAUCUGACAUCUUUAAGACUGUAAAAAAAUUGUAAAUUCUGGAAACUGCAGAUGGCAGGAAUUGGCCAAUUUGGGCUUGGGGAAGGAGUGGAUGGCUCGGGUGUCACGACUAAGUUCCUUACCAGCAAUUGUUCUAUAAAUCUCAUAAUAGAGAACAAGUCUAAGCUCUUCGGCCUCCACAUUCGUCCUCCAACAAUGGAAAUGUGCUUCGGACGGCUACCUUUUGCACAAUCACAUGUAAGUAGAUAUAUAUAUGUUCAAUCAGGUGUAAAGUUCACUUCUUAAUUUUGUUACAUUUGUGUUUGUUUAAAUUGCCGGUCUAUAAAUAUAAGCACUUUUGGAAAUACUCGUGUCUAAAUGUGUGGUUUAGAUUAACAGUAGAAAAAUUUUCUUUGUACACACUCAUAUUGCAUUGAUGAUACAUCAAUUUGUUCCGGGCAAUCAGUCGUUAUUCAAAAUUUUCAGGGACCAAAGCUAUAUGCUGAGAGUGGGUCAUCAAAGUUCAAGUUAUAUGUUGGAACAAGGAAUAAGCCUAUGUAUGGUGCCGGAAGAAGCAUGGACGACAUGCUCGAGUCCGGGAAGGGUUUGCCGUUGGUGCUUCGUGUGAGAGUGCGCUCAAGUUUUCGGGUCGUUUGGAAUCUCAUAAAACCUAAAUUUCAUCACCAAGCAGAAUGUUUUUUGGUCGUUGAAAGGGCGUAUGACAAAAAGCAUCGUACUCAGUCAUACAAUAGCACCUGCAUAAUUAAUUGAAAGAAAAAGACACCAGAGAAUGUGAACGAGAAAAAAAAUGAGAGAUUCGUGUGCUGUCGAGCCACAAGCUCCCGUGCCAUCCGUUAUGUAAAUUACACCAAUGUCAUAAACAAAUUAUCAUGUUGGAUCCUAGUUGCAUUUUUUAAUCUCCUUUAUAUCGUUGAGGUACAAAACAAAUGUCGACGUUUCACGUUUCUAUCCAUAUACAUUUUUAAUUAUCCAGUGGUUCAUACGCAUGGUAAAUUAUUAUAUUCCUUUUUUGGACUUUAUUGUCAGAAGUUUAAGGAUCAGGAAAUCCGGGCUCUUGGUUUGUGUAAAAAUGAGAUCAGAGUCAUUGAUUUGUGUGAGAUGGACCAUCAGAAUGAGUUAAUGAGAGCUAUCGGAUUCAAUUUAAGUGAUCCACAUUGCUGGUCCUUGGACUCCAAAUAGUGAAAUCCGAAGAGGAUCUCUGUCCGUAGGUGAGUAUCUUGAAAAUGAGUUUGUUAUUUGAAAUUCUAAAAAGCCAUAUUAAGAAAAAUUUGUAUACAAAAUAUUGUUUGUAAGAUGAUAUUUUUAGACUAACAAUAACAAUACUUUUUCAAAAAUAAUUGGAAGGACGUUCCAGUAACACCAUUAAGAAUAUCAAAUAAGAAAGGUUCGUUACAGCAUUGGAGACCAUAGCUUUGGAAGCAUGCAUUGCAAGUUAAAUAACUCGUGAGUGACAUAACGCGCUUGUGUCUAAUACGCAAGUCCAACACAUGUGCCUUCUUUAAUGGGAGAAGUUUUCGAGAUCAUGUUUGCCUCAUUUGAUGUGGGUGUGAGUUUGAGCUUUACUUCCCGCGGGUAGUUGAAGGGCACUUAUGUCAAUCUGAGCUUUCUUAGUCCACGUGUAUUGUUAGUCUUACUAGAUGGUAUUAACGGGAGCAUUUUUGCUCACAGUCAUAUGAUGUAUACUUAUCAUACAUCUAAUUAUUGUUCAUGUGUUCUUUUAACUAACUCUAGUUAAUUUUUACGUUAAAUGUUACUUUUUCAAUGUUGUAAAAAAUUAACCAAGGUUAAAUAAAAGACACAUGGCAGAUGCUUAGGUGUAUGGUGAGCGUACAACAAGAUUUAUGGAGGUUGUUAGCCCAUUGUGAUAUUUAACCUACUCCCUCACCCUUUUAGUAUAGAUAAUAACGUUUUUUUUUUUUUAAAAAGAUUUAUGGUAGUGAGCAAAAAUGCUCCCAUUUUUGUUUACCUCACAUAUCUACACUUCUUUUUGGGUAAUGCUAAGAAGACCAUCAAUUUAAAUUAUAUUGUCACGCCCCGAUCCCGACAUACAUCCCAGAUCGACACAUUGACAUCAUCAAGUAUCCGUAUGUCUAACAUACCCUGCCUCCGGGAUAUGGCGAAGCACAACUCGAGCAUUGAUUCGCAUAGUAAUUUUUUGUACACUUUAUGGCUGUAUCUAACCUUAUUGUUAGACUGCCUACGUACCCUAAAUAGGGAUCAAGUCAUUCGUAGUUCGUCAAUUGUCAUACUCUAAUCUUUUCGUAAAAUACUUCUAGCGGAAAACAUAGGGUACCACAUUACACAUCAACCAUAAGCCAAGCACAAUUAUCAUCUUGUCAGGCACGCAAGUGUGCUAUUCCCACACAUAUGCUUUCCAAUUCAUCCUUUAUAUAAAUCACUAUGUUUCACAUAAUACCGCAAUUCAUAGUAUGCAACAUCUCAAAAAACAGUCAACGAAGCACAAUGUUAUCCUCUAGCCACAAUUGUUAAUAAGUCUAAUCAUAAUGACAACCAUCACAACCAACAUUAUUCCACAAUCACAUCAAUCAAUAACACAUAUCAUAUACCAAAAUGCAGGGCCAGAGCGACACAGUUCAGCCGAAGCCUACAUCUCUGAAGCUGAUAUCAAAUCCAAAGAACCAACAAGUCAAAUGAUGCGAUUUCAAACCACUCAACGAAAUCCAUCAAGAUCGAGUUCCGCACCAAUCAACGAAACCAAGACACCAAAAGGGGUUCUGGACCUCUCUAAGGAAUCCAAACUAGGAUACGAUUUCGGACCAUCACUCAACAGAAUUGCAGUAGAAGGGAUUCCGGACCAUCACUCAAUGGUAUCGCGAAGUAGAAGGGAUUCCAGACCAUCACUCAACGGAAUCCAAGUGCAUAUGAUUCCAGAUCAUCACUUAACGGAAUCGCGGAGUAGAAGAGAUUCUGGAACAUCACUCAAUGGAAUCACAGCGGAAACCCAAUUUUAGAUCACUCAACGGAACCAAGCGGAGGGUCAAUGAACAAAUCAACGGCUCAAAGAAACAAGACAUGAACCAAGUGCUCAAAUUACGAAAGCUCAACGAAACAAGAAAUGGAAACAAAGCACAAGUAUUAAAUUUAGAAUGGCUCAACGAAAUGAAACAAAACAAUGAAACGAGAUGUGAAACAUGCUUUGAAGCAACAAACCCCAUGACAACAGGUUAACGGUCCACUACUAGCCCUCAUAUUUCAUCAUAUCAUACCAAUUAUGCAAAUCAACCACAGUGUAAAUAUGCACGUCAAAUCACGUAUCACAAUCAUCAUCAGUAUGUAGACCAAAUCAUGUUUAGUAAACAUAGGUCCAUGGCUAAAUAUAUAAAAAUCACAUUUCAUUAGAAAUCACAUUUAUAAAGUUAUAUGAUAUCCACAAAGGAUAUUAAAUACGAUAGCAGGGUAGUAACCAUAUCACAUAUUUUAAAGUCACUUACUAACCAAUGUAAGCCCAUUAGACUUCAUUUAGUCUCCUGUAGUACUAAUUUUAGUAUUUAGAACGUUUCGAGACAUGUUGACCAAAAUUCAACCAUCGAUCAACAGUAGGGUCCACAACCCUACGUAAUUUGAUUCGGAAGAUCCGCACAUCGGAUUUCGGAUCCGUAACCUCUCCUCAUUAUGCUUAUAUAACAACAUAUUAAAAUUUCAACGCGAUCCAACAGUUGAAUCUUUGCCAAUCGCAAUUUCAAGUGGCGGUCGACAUUUUGUUUUACAAACUUAGAAAUCCAAUUCGGGAAGAUCCAUACGUCGGAUUCCUGAUCCGCAAGUUCCUAUUGUCCUCAAAUAUUACGAACUAUUAUGUAUUAAAGUUUGGUGCCGAUCCAACAGUCGGAUCGUCGUUAUUUAGAAUAUCCAAGUGGCGGACCUUAAUGAAAAUAUAGUCAAACGACGGAAAUUCAUCAAUCAGACUUUACAUAUAGAAUUGAGGUAUCAAAUUUAGCCUAGGAAGGUCAUGGGGUGCCUCGGCCCAAGCGCCACCAAAGGUGGUGGUCGGCCGCCCCGACUUGCCGGAAAAUUCACUAUUUAAAAAAUUACCAAAUUUCACAGAAAUGUAGAGCAAUUCAAGGGGAGCAAUUUUCAUACCUAGGCCGAAAUCCAAUUCGGUCUGGUAAAGCUCCAAUUUCACUCAAACCCGCCGGAACCCUAAAAUGGGUUGACUUCGAUUCUCCUUCCUCGGUGUUUCGACGCCCUUACAACUAGAUGGGUCUUGUUCUUGGGUCCAAGAGGAGUUGAUUAACGGUGGUGAUGUGUGGUGUAACUCGGCGGAACAGCGGAAUCGCCGUCGAGCACCCCUGGGUUCACCUGCACUGUUCUACACGAAAUUAGACUUAAAAGCCUUUGAUCUUGGGCGGGAAUGGUAGAGGGGAGGUUGUGGAAGAGGUUGCAGGUGGUGGAUGUGGUGUAUCGACGGAAAAAAUGGCGGAAUCGUCGGAUUUGAACCAGGUCAAAACUAGUUGUGGGUGCACCGGCCGACGGGAAGAGGGAGGUCUCUUUUCUUUUCUUUUUUUCUUUUUUUCCUAAAUAUAUAAAAAUCACAUUUAUAAAGUUAUGUGAUAUCCACAAAGGAUAUUAAAUAUGAUAGGAGGGUAGUAACCAUAUCACAUAUUUUAAAGUCACUUACUAACCAAUGUAAGCCCAUUAGACGUCAUUUAGUCUCCCGUAGUACUAAUUUUAGUCUCCCAUCGAUCAACUGUAAGGUCCACAACCCUACGUAAUUUGAUCCAGAAGAUCGGCCCAACAGAUUUUGGAUCAAUAACCUCCUAAGGUCCUUAUUAUGCUCAUAUAACAACUUAUUAAAAUCUCAUCGCGAUCCAACGGUCGGAUCUCCGCCAAUCGCAAUUUCAAGUGGCGGUCGACAUUUUAUUUUACAAACUUAGAAAUCCAAUUUGGGAAGAUCCAUACAUUGGAUUCCCGAUUCGCAAGUUCUUAUUGUCCUCAAAUAUUACGAACUAUUACGUAUUAAAGUUUGGUGCCGAUCCAACAGUCAGAUCGUUGUUAGUUAGAAUAUUCAAGUGGCGGACCUUAACGAAAAUAUACUCAAACGACGGAAAUUCAUCAAUCGAACUUCAUAUAUGGAAUUGGGGUAUCAAAUUUAGCCUAGGAAGGUUAAAGGAUGCCUUGGCCCACGUGCCACCGCAAGUGGCGGUCAGCCGCCCCGACUUGCCGAAAAAUUCACUAUUUCAAAAAAAUUACCAAAUUUCACAAAAAUGUAGAGCAAGUCAAGGGGAGCAAUUUUCAUAUUUGGGUCGAAGUCCAAUUCGGUCGGGAAAAGCUCCAAUUUCACUCAACCCGUGGGAAACCCUAGAAUGGGUUAACUCCGAUUCUCCUUCCUCGGUGUUCCGACGCCCCUACAACUGGUUGAGUCUUGUUCUUGGGUCCAAGAGAGUUGAUUAAGGGUGGUUAUGGGUGGUGUAACUCACCGGAACGGGGGAAUCGUCGUCGAGCACCCUUGGGUUCUCUGGCACUAUUCUACACGAAAUUGGACUAAAAAACCUUCGAUCUUGGGCGGGAAUGGUAGAGGGGAGGUUGAGGAAGAGGUUGUUGGUGGUGGAUGUGGUGUAUCAAUGGAAAAAAUGGCAGAAGCGCAGGAUUUGAACCGGGUUCAAACUGGUUGUGGGUGCACAGGCCGACGCGAAGAGGGAGGUCUCUUUUCUUUUCUUUUUUCCCUGAUUGGUUGCUAACCCCGCCGCCCCAACUGAUUGGUCCCUUUUUCUUAAAUCAGAUUGGUCCAAUAGUCUGAUUGGGCCGAAAUUUACUCACACAUGAUAGGCCAAAUUCCCACAUGGUGGGGGUUUAACUAAUUUAAAAACUAUAGUUUGGUAAAAUGACUUCAAAUGUCCGUAGCUACCGUUAUAAUCCGAACUUUCAAACGGCUUCCGCCUAUGCGUUCGUGGUUUUGAGAUCUAUUAAAAAACAUUACUUGUGACCUUCGAAGGUCUACGGAUUAUAAAUAAUUAUUUAUCAAAAAUUCAACUUUUUACUUAAGUAAUUAAAAUAUAAAAUUAAUUUAAAUUCUCAAAAAAUAGUAUAAAAUCUCAAUAAUACAAACAUGUAGAUUAUAACAAUGAAAUCCAAGAACGGGAUUUCACAUAUAUUUUGUACGUGAUUAUUAUGAUUACUUAGGAAUUGAUUAAUGUGAUUAUUUUAUACUAGUGACACAUUAUACAGUUUGCAGAUUCGGUCUAAAUAUUUGAUCUAUCUAGUCUUACCUUUUCAUAAUGUAUACAGUCAACCACUUGCAAGAGAGGUCAUUAAUGACGCUAACCUCAAUGAAGAUUAGCAUUGAGCAAAAGCUUUUUUAUUUUGGGAAAUUGUGGAGCCAAAAAUAUUUCUAAAAAUCAUAAAGAUGACACGUGAAUUUUUGUCCGAAGAAGAAAAAAAUGUCUUCAUCUCACGCACAGUUCAACAUCCCUAGAGACUUAAGCAGCUGAUUACAACACCACCAAGCUCCCCAGCUCAUGGCAUGAAAAAUUGAAAGACAUUAAUGAUAUGAUUAAUCACCAAAUUCUAUAUUUAAUACAUUCCUGAUUGAAAAUCAACUCAAACAAGUAAGAAGUUCUCAUCACAAUCAGUCAAGAAUAGUUACUUCAUUAUCCCAGUAUAUUAUCUCCUAAUUAAUGUAUUCGGGAUAAUUCUUUCCUUAUCCAUCUUAUGGAUGACACACCUUUGUCAAUGGGAAGCCAACACAUGUAGGGCAGAACCCUACCAUGCCGGCCACCUCCCUAUAUAUACUAUGCAUCAUUUUUUGGUAUGCUUUUGCUACACAAUUAAGCCAUAAACACUACCUCUUUUCAGAGAUACUGACCUAAGCAUUGGAGAUCCAUUGGCUAACACUCCCCCCCCCUCGACGGCCACCGCGGUACCCCCGCUUUGGUCCUUAGUCAAAGCUAUUUUUUUUUUUUAAGUAUAAAUUCAUCAAGACUAAAGACGGUAGAUUCUUACUACCACAAAACUGAUGUCCCUUACUUCAAAGUUAUGUGUAGGACAUAAAUCGUAAUAUAAAUAUAUAGUAUGUAGGAUGUUAGAAAUAGAUGAGUGGGUUUCAUCUUCUCAGUUUACUGGAAAUGGCAACAUUGUGUCUUCCACGCGAAAGUUGAAUCUGUCUUCUUAGUUUAAUCAAGUCUAGUGUGGUAUUAUCGUGGCUUCCACACGAAAGUGGAAUACUUUUCUUAUUUUCCUUUAAAUUAUUGCAUCGUGAAUCACUUUACUUUAGAUGACUGUCAAGCUAAUUAGGUCCAAAAGUUUGGUACCCUUUUUUCGUUCAAACAUGUUAGAUAUUUCCCCAGCUAAAUACGUCGAAGGAGAGAAUCACACACACAUAAAAAGUGAAACGAUUGUUCGAUAACUAUUUUGCAUAACAAAACUGGUGGAUGAACAAGUAUAGUUCAUAUCUGCAUAGUUGCGUAUAUACUAGUGCAUAAUAAGUUGCAAUUUUAUUGAGUAAGACGAUGAUACAAAAAUAUUUGUGGGCAUGAUCGAAAUUAGCAUAUAUAUAUAUAUAUAUAUAUGGACUAUAUAAGCGGCAACAUUAUUCAUUAAAUAAGUUAUCUUUACAUCGACAUGCAUGCAAUUGCAAACAUAAGUGUCUUCGGGUCCCCCCAUUAGCUUCACUAGAUGGUGUUCCUAGAUUUAAAGUAUUUUUUUCACUAUGUACAGUAGCUCGAAAAGCAAGCUGUGGAGUAAUAGUCUUUGUAUUUUAGCUCAAUUAGAGUUUUGAUUUCUGAACUAAAAAUUCAUAAGUAUUGAUCAUGUUGACUAAUUCAAUUAGAACUUUCAUCUAUUUUUCACCUCUUUAAAUUCUUAAAUUUGGAUGAAAAUUUUAAUGGAGUUAGCCUAAAGAACUGUUGUUCCACAAUAUAACAAGUUCAAGGAUUCUACGUUAAAAAUCUCUUUCUCUCAACAUAGUCCGAAUUGAGAGUAAUUUGCUAAGAGCACUAGGUUUUGGUCUUAAAAUUAUGUGUCAUCAUAGGUGUUUAUACCAUAUUUAGGGCCUCGUAUACUUGGGACUUGGGCCUUGUAUUUGGGCCUCACACUAAAGCCCAUACUUUGUAAAAGAGGAGGAGCCCCUUAUUCUAUAAAAGGGGACUCCUCCCCUCAUUCUAAAGGGGGAAGAGAGCCAAGCCAUCCUACAAGGCUCAAAACUCUCAUACAUUUAGAGAGAGAGUCCUCAUACAAUUCAAGAGGCUCUCCUUCCUUCUCCCCCACCCUCCUUUCUCCGAGGGACUUCCCCAAACACUUGUAUCCAUACACAUACAGAGAAACAAUAUCAACUACAGUGUGGACGUAGCCCAUACAUUGGGGUGAACCACGAUAAAAUCCUUGUGUUCUUUGUGUUCUUCGUGUUCUUGAGCGUUUGUGCAGAUUCACGGUCGGAUUUACGUUGUACCAAGACCAUCCGGUUUUGUGCAUCAACAAUAGGUUUAACAAAUUGGCACACGCACAUUGUAUUCCUAAGACCACUAAUUAUUAUAUGCUACAAACGUCAUUGGCUACUACAUAAAUAACGAAGUUAACCUAAUUUAUGAACUAAUAACCUAAUUUAUGAACUAACCAGGGCUCACAAUGUCCAGCCGGUAAAAAUUAGGUCACAAGGGGAAUGUCAGUUAAUUCCAGGCAUGGAGUAUUGGAAAUCCUACGUAGCCCACAAUUUGAAAAGUUUCGAUUGCUACCAGCUAGUUAAAGCACUUCGAUUUGCAUCAAAUCAAAGUAGGAUAAAUUAAAUACAAACUUAAUAAUUUAUAGCUUACGAUGAUGGUGGACUACACCUUUUCAGAAUCUAAAAGAGUGCUACCAAUUAUGUAUGCACUCUUUCAACAGAUUGCGAUGCUGUCAUUCAAUCAUAGGCAGUUCCGUUCACUAUGAUAUUUCUAAAAUUUAUUUUGCUUCUUGUGUGUCAGAUUUUUCCACUCUUAAAACUUAAAAGAACGAGUUUUGUUCUCUCUCUCUCUCUCUCUCUCUGUGCGUGUGGGUUGAGCAAUAUACAAUUUUUUAUUUUCUUUAUUUUUUUUAAUUUGGGAGGGAUAGAGGCGGAGGAAGAGUACUUAUAUAGUGUAGGAAGGGCUUGGUGUGCAAGUGAGCUAUCUAUCAAAAGGAAGUUGGUGAAAAGAGUAUGUUUUGCAAUAUUGCUAGCUCUCUCAGCACGAAGAACAAUAAGCGCAAAGGUAUACAAGUUACUUCCAAAAGAUAAACUCCUUCUCAUUCUUUCUAUCUCUAGACAUUUCCAAAUUUGGAUAGGUACAUAUAUUUGUUGCUUUCAAACUCUUUCUCUUCUAUGCAUGCAUGCAUGCUUGAUGCUUCUCACAAUUAGAUUAAUAAAAAAAAUGAAAAUUUUGAAAUACGUCAAAUUUUUAGUAACUUUUGACUUUUGAAAUAGGUCCAAUUUUUAGUUACUUUGGACCUAUAUCAAAAGACACCAAUUUUUUUUUGGUAAAACCUCGACGAUACGAGGAGAUAAUAUGCAUAAUAUGUAUGCAUGCUUCUUAUAAUUAGAUCAAGCUUAUUGUGUCUCAUUCUUUCAUAUUUUUCUUGCACAUAUGCAUAAUCUGCGUUGUUUUAUAUAUGCAUGCAAGCCUACAAAAUUCUAUGGCUUUGGGGACCUGCAAAACACAAUUGCACCCCACAUUAUUCGAGCCUAUACGAAUCCCGUACUGGACGGUCAAGUACGGAAAUAUCGGUUAAUAUAACUAGAGUUUUGCCAAUUUUUGAGAUAAUAAUUAUGGACCUGCAAUUGGAGAAUGACCAAGUUCGUGAAUAUUGUUAUCACAUGAUAUUCUAUAUCGAUAAUUUAGAUGUAAAUUUGUGUCCACAUGACAUUAUAUUAUUAAUUCAAUUUGAUACGUUAACAGUGUACAUGUGCUAUAUAAAUUACGCUAAUGAGAAUGACCCAUAUAUCCACAACUAACGCCCCGCAUGCAAAUCUUUUGUGAUUGAUUUCGUUGCAUUAAUUGUUUUCUGUUUUUGGCUUUUCCUUUCACAAUCACAGUGCUGCUUGCUUACCUUACUUCCACUACAUACAUUCUUGGCCAAAUCCACUACUGUAUAAUAUAGAAUUAUAUGCAAUAAUAAUCCCUAUACUUAAAAAAAUAAAUAUAAAUAAAAAUUCCUCAACCAGGACUCAAAUAGUCACUUUCGAACACUCCUUCCUUAAAUUCUUUAAAAAAAAAUUUAGUUUUUUUUUUGGUGAACUAAAAAAAAAAAAAAAAAAAAAAUUAGUUUGAAAGCAGAGAUGCAGACUGAAAGUGCAUACAGAAACUUUCUUAUCAUAUAGAGACCUCAGUCAUAACAAAUUUUUCAUGAUAUCUGGCUUCAUAACAAACUUUUAUGAUAUAUAGCAAAUUGAAACGAACGUAAAUGAUAAUUGCUUACUUGAAUAUUGUGAUUAUUUUAGGUAAGUGAUGAUUUGUACCUUUAACUCUUACAAUGGUGACAAAUAAAAAACAAAUUAAUAACUUAGCCACUUAGUUCUAUAGUCUACUGAUAUUUUUCUCCACUUGUAAGUGAGCCGGUAUUUCUCUUUCACUUGUAAGUGAGCGGUCUUAGGUUCAAUUCUCGCCAAAAGCGAAUUUGAACCACAUUAUUGUUAGCUCAUUAUGAGGCUUAGACCACUCCCCAACCCUUUAGUGUAGAUAAUAUCGUUUGUUCAAAAAAAAAAAACUUUAUUUUCUUGGUUUUGGAAAGACACUCUUAUUUGUAUUUAAAAACAAAAAUUCUUAAAAUAUAAUUCAUGGAUUAAUCUCUACUAAUUAAUAAAACACUCAUUGUCAACUAAAACCCUAUGAAAUUAUCAAUUUAACCCUCUAAUUAAAACAGAACAUGAAUAAGAAAUAUGGGGUAGAAAUGUAAUUUCACACAACCAAAUUUUGCUGUUUUUUUUUCAAAGUCUCACCUACAUGUAAUUCUAACAUAUAUCUAAUUAAAAAAAAAAAAAAAAACUUCCCACCCCCACAUUCUCUCUCACUCUCUUCCUCUCUCUCUCCUUUUAUUUCAAAAACAAAAAUAAAAAAUUUACUCACACAUUUGUGUAUGCCCAUAUGCUAGUACUUGGUUUAUAAAAAUACAGACGAGGGAGAGUUGAAUAUAGGACUAGGUGCACGAGCAAAAUGUAUUUAACCACUUGAGUUAAAAAUUCUUUUGUAAGUUAGAUCUUAAAAAUUUAAACUUUUAGAAAUAUCUAUUAACAAUUCAUUCAUGAGCAUAUUCUAUUAAAAAGAAAAAAAAUUCAUAUAUAGCCAAUUAUGUUAUCGUCGCUUAAUGUAUCGAUUCAUGUGUAAUAGCAUGAUUGCAUGUAUUAUAACCGUACGAAUAUAUAGCAAUGCUAUGUUCUCACCCAGAAAAUUACUUGUACAUAGUCCUCGAUUAAUUAAAGGGAACUUUAACGAAAAGCUCUCAGUAUUGUUAACUUUAACGAAAAAUCAUAUUUGUACACUAAAAAGUUUAUCUUGAUACUAUUCACUUUACUUUUUAUUUUGUUUUUAUCGUUAAAACUCAAAGUUUUCAAUUUUUUUUUAUUAAUUUUCCUUUAAUUAAACCUAGUUUCGCAUAGAAACAAGUCGAAUAUUCUUUUCAAGCAAGGUUCACACGACAUGGACAUUAGGAUCAUUCUGUCUCUCUCUCAUCUUCAUGUGUGAUUUAUUUCGAUGAUAAAUAAGACUUCAGUUUUGUUGGUACUCGAUAUAGAAAACACCUGCCUUAAUGCUUUGCGGUACUAACCAGGGAUUGUAAACCCGAGGGAGGUAUAUAUGUGCAGUAUCCAUGUUUGGUCACACCUACCUUGUCCCUUCCCUCUUCGAAUUUGUGCCAUUGUAAUAUUAUAUGGUUGGCUUAAAGGUUACUAAAAAAUAUUUGUCCUUGCCAAAUCCCGUUUAGCCAAAUGGCAAAAUUGAAACACUUUUUCAGGCACAAGAUUCAAAUGAGAGAUUUUUCAGUGUGAUCGGAACACGGAAUACAAAUAGUAAAAUAUGCGUGUUAACAAGUUAAUAACUUAAAUAUUAAAAUUUUUCACAACUUAUAUAAAAACACGUGAUGUACCACUUGUAUUUUAUUACAAUAAAAAAUUUCUUCAAAGAAAAGGUUAAGUCUUAAAACUACAAAAUUAAUAUUUUAAAUUUUAAAAAGUGUUAUUGCCACUCCAAAAAGUUAUCUUGCACUUCUUCCUAAUUAAAAAUUAAAAAGUAUAUGAUGAUCAUUUUGGAAUCUAAUAAAAAAUCCUUAAACUCAUGUAUAUGUGAAUUACCUGACAAUUAUAUACAUAUUUGUUAGACCGGUCGAAUGUAUGUGGAAGAUGACGUCGCAAUUGCUUAUAAGGUGUUGAAUUACUUUAUAUGUUUUAUUUUCCAAAAAUCUGACAAAUAAAAGGAAAGGAGAUCAUAAAGAUAUACGGACGUGGUAGAAUUUUGACUUUCUUCAUAGUAUCAAUACAGGUCAACAUACAUGUGAACCACAUGCUCCAUAUCACUUAAUUUGUGUUGCCCACAUACUAAUAAGCUUAAACAUUUUAGUGGGUCGGACGUGUGAGAAUGCAAAGAGAUGUCCCAAAUAGAAAGUUUAUCAAUAGUAGUUAAAUAUGCUACACAUAUUUAGGCAUUAUAAGCAUUGGUAACAUGUUUUUUUCUUUUCCAUAAAUUUGGCAUGCAAUUAAUGUUGUCAAAUUAUCAAAUUUAGUCUACAUUAGAAAAUGUCUUACACUCGAGGUUCUACUUCUUCCCCUAAUAUAUCUGUAUGCAAUAAAUUUUCCUUUGAAGCAUUUAGUCCGUUUUCAUUAAUCAUUUUUGUGGUGGAAUCUGCUUUUUACUCUUAGCUCUUGCAUGGAAAGUUCGUAACUGAGUGCAUAAUUCACGAAAGUUGUCUUUGCUCACGCACUUCAAACAAACGUUAGCGGAGUCCUCCAACUUUGAUUAUUGCAUUUUUAUAAACAAAAAAUAAUAAUAUUAGAGAGCUCUUUCUGUUGACUGAUGUUCAGUCUACAAAACAUCAUAACUGAGGAAGGUUUCUAUCAGUUAUAUGGAGCUAUAAAAUCCACCUUGAGCUUUUAGUGUCUCGUGUGCCCUCCUGGAGUCAUUUCUGAGGCAGUUCAUUUACAUAGAAGGUCUAUUUACUUAUUUAUUUAUUUAGUUAUUUUGUGUUUUCCCUCCUACUUUGAGGUCUGCAUUUGAUAUGUGAUUGUGUAUACUUAGGUUUAGCCAAAUUGGCUAUAGCAGUGUGGUCUCCUAAUCUGCACCCAAGUUUGAGUCCCUCUUUCCAUAGUUUAGAUAAUUUAGUGGAAAUUAUCCCGUUGUUUGUCAAAAAAGAAACUGAGGUUGGAUUGUCAGAAAGUACUACAUUUGUAUAGUGAUAUCAAAAGCUCAAGUGAAGUGACCUCAUUAGGAAGUUUUAUUUUAUUUUGGAAUUGCAGUAUCAACUUAAGCAUGGCUGAGGAGCAACAUUUGCAUGAGCCAGUGAGCAAGUGGAAGAUGCCUGUUGGUGUUUUCUUCAAAGAUGCAAGGUAUACAGUUUCACAUUUACCAUAUUUUAAUUAGCCCCAGUUUGGGGUUGAGGUGAUUUUAAAAAAAGCUCCUAUGAAAAAAAGCUGGGAGUGUUUUUGGUGUUUGGUAAACUUAAAAAAAAUGGCUUAUUUUGGAAGCUGCUGUGAGAAUAAGCUGAAAUCAAAGGAAAAAGCUGAAGCUGCAAUUUGUAGCUUUGGAAAACUGGCUUUUUUUUCAAAGCACACAGAACUACAGUGCUCCUUUAAUGAAAAGACCCACUAUCAGACUGCUUUUUUUUCCAAAGCACUUUUACAUAAAAGUUUACCAAACACUCUGCUGAUUUAUUUCACAGCCGCUUAUUCUCACAGCACAGCCGCUUAUUCUCACAGCAGUUUUUUUUCAAAGCACAGCAAUACCAAACCAGCCCUUAGUACUCUCUCUCUAAUUAAUUUUCUGCUUUGGGGACAGCCUUUUCUAUCUUAAUUUAAGGUUGACAAGGGUAAAGUACUAAAGUUUUUUUUUUUUUUUUCCACGUGAUUGCAGGCGUGUUUUCAAAUGGGAUACACUCGGGAAGGAGAUACUGCAGAUUGCAUUCCCUGCUGCUCUCGCUGUAGCUGCUGAUCCAGUUGCUUCUUUGAUUGACACAGCAUUCAUUGGUCAUAUAGGUACAUUUGCCUUUGCUUUAUCUUGAUUUUUAGAGGAGCUUGCAUUGGAAUGCAUAAAUUUUUAGGAAAUAAUUUUGUUUGUAAAUAAUUGUCCGCAUGUUCACAGUAAGAUAAAAAUUGUAUGGAGUUUGGCAACAUUGAUCAGUGUUGUACUAAAAACUCAUCAGUUACUGUAUUAUUGAAAGACACGGUUAUUAGUUCAUGUUCGACUGAUCUUUGUUUCACGUAGAUUGACUCGAUAGAUGAAUCUUUUUGUCCUAUAGGUCCAGUCGAGCUUGCGGCAGCAGGAGUAUCUAUUGCCCUGUUCAACCAGGCUUCAAGGAUUACUAUAUUCCCAUUAGUCAGUAUAACAACUUCCUUUGUUGCCGAGGAAGAUACUGUUGCAAAAAUGAACACGGAAUCUGCGAAAGGUGAGAAGCGGGAAAAGAAUUCAGACAUGCUUGAUGACAUGGAAAAAGGGGCUGCCAAACCAAAAGGAGAUGAUACACCUCAAAAUGGUAAGCAUCUAGGAAAAUUUUCAACUCAAAACAGUAGGGUGGAAAAGGCUUCAACUGAUGAUAUUGAGUGUGUGGAAGCGGAAAAAGGUGCUGCUGAAGCGGAAGGUGAGAGAUCAGACGAGGGAUUAGCUAAAGAUAUUGAAUCAAAAAAAGUCAUAUUGGAAAAUGUUAAGCUUGAGAAUGCAGAGAAAGGUGCUGCUAAAAACAGUGUUCAACUAGAAAAUGGUACUCUUUCUCUCUUUUGAUCUCUAGGCUCUAGCUCACUGCCAUUAGAACCCAAAGAUCAAUAAAUAUCUUAAAACAUAAUAUGCAUUGGUGGUUUCUUGAUUAGGUUCCAAAACCACUAUGGAAAAGCGUCCUUCGGAUCUUAUGAACAACAGUGUGAAGACGAAAAUCAGGAAAAAGAAGCGACAUAUUGCUUCAGCGUCAACAGCACUCAUCUUUGGGGCAAUAUUAGGCCUUUUUCAAGCUAUAUUUCUCAUGCUUACAGCCAAAGUUCUCCUUGGUGUGAUGGGUGUGAAACCGGUAAGUGAUUCAUUUUUGUCAUCUCCGCCUAUAUCGAAUGAAGGAAAGAAUUACAGCUCUUGUUAUGGAGCAGGGUUCCCCUAUGCUAGCCCCGGCACAGAAGUACUUGAGAAUAAGGUCGAUUGGUGCACCUGCAGUUCUUCUCACAUUGGCCAUGCAAGGGAUCUUCCGUGGCUUUAAGGAUACAAAAACUCCUUUAUAUGUCAUUGGUAGGCCAAAAACUCUGUUCCGAUUUCUCACCCCCCAACUACUUUGAUUUGUGUUCCUCUCUCAUUAUCCUCAGAUAUGAUUAAACACAAGAAAUAGAAACAUAUCCUAUAUGAAAUCAACCCUAUAGUGAUGGAGAAGUCUAAUUACUCUAGUUUAUUUGUUCAUUUGUAUCGUAUUGUAGUUGCCGGAUACGCAGUUAACAUUGCCCUGGAUCCAUUACUCAUCUUUGUCUGCGGUAUGGGAAUCAGAGGUGCAGCUAUGGCACAUGUUAUUUCUCAGUGAGUAGUGUCACCCUUGUCAUGGUAUUAUUUUUUAUAAUUGCAUAUUUUCAACUGCUGUUGAAAUCUUGUUGUUCAUACAUUUUUAUCUAAGAUUUGGUGUGCAUCUUUUCUAAUAUUAAAAUGUUUGAAACCGUUUUAGGUACUUGAUGGCGCUGGUACUCUUCAUAAUCUUAACAACAAAAGUUGAUCUCUUACCUCCAAGUCUUAAAGAUUUGCAGUUUGGCCGGUUUCUGAAGAACGGUAAUGAGCUCAAUUCUUAAUAUCUCACUCCAGUAUUAUAGUUAGCAUAAUUCAUCUGACCUCCAUCCCUUAAUAUUCCAAUCAUGGUAAUUGAAAUGCAUAAUUAGACAAAUAUUAUGGUUUUUUGAGUUACAAUUUUUCCUUGAAUUUGGGCACAGGAACUCUAUUGUUGGCUAGGGUGGUUGCUGUUACAUUCUGUGUGACCUUGGCCGCAUCCCUGGCAGCGCGGCUGGGUCCAACUCCGAUGGCUGCAUUUCAGACUUGCUUGCAGGUCUGGUUGACAUCAUCUCUUCUUGCUGAUGGUUUGGCUGUUGCAGGACAGGUAUUGUUUUUUCUCAUUUAAAACAAAAAAAAUAAAAUGUAAGCGUGACUUAAAAGGCAGAAAUGUUUACUACUUAUUCAAACAAUCUUUGUGUGUAUUUUCUCAUUAGGCUAUUCUAGCAUGUGCUUUUGCUGAGAAAGACUACAAAAAGGCCACAGCUACCGCAACCCGGGUUUUGCAGGUACUUCAUUCUCUACACAUAGUGGAAAAAUCUAUAAAUUAUAAACCCUUCAUCAUUUGAACAACCCAUUUAUUUACUUUUUCACUAAUUUGUGAAAGAAUAUGCUUUGCAGAUGAGCUUUAUUCUUGGUGUGGGUCUUGCUUUUGUUGUUGGAAUUGGUCUGUAUUUUGGAGCUGGAGUAUUUUCUAGAGAUGUUAACGUUUUGCACCUUAUAAAGAUUGGCCUCCCGGUAUUUAAAUUUAGCUCUUCUAAAGCCAAAUCUUCAUUUAUUAUAAUUAUUACUGUUAUUUUCGAGCAUGAAAAGAAUCAUCAUCUAAUUUGUUUUCUACUCACCAGUUUGUUGCAGCUACGCAACCGAUCAAUUCGCUGUCUUUUGUGUUUGAUGGUGUGAACUUUGGAGCAUCUGAUUUUGCAUAUGCUGCAUACUCAUUGGUAAGUUUCUUUGCAAUAAACCUUUCCAAAUUUCCUAUUCACAAGUUGUGUUACUAGCUAAUAAUCCAAAUUAUUCUUUUGUGCUUCUCAGGUUCUGGUUGCCAUAGCAAGCAUUGUAUCCUUGUUCCUCCUCUCAAAAUCCCAUGGUUUUGUUGGAAUCUGGAUUGCUUUAACCAUUUAUAUGGCGUUACGUACAUUUGCUGGUGUAUGGAGGUAAUUAUCCUUCCUUCUAUUUUUUUAGAACUAACAAUGGGAGUAGAGAUUUGAAAUUGUUAUCUCUCUUACAAUAUCAGAAAGAGAAAUACCACUAGACCAACUAUAAUUUAUUUAUCUUAGCAAUGGAUUGAGGAAAGGAAUUCAAAAUUGAGACCUCUUCCAACGAUCCUUUCCACAUUAUGAUUUGAAUUACUUGAACUGAGCUAGGUUGCUAUAUACUACAUUUGCAGGAUGGGGACUGGAACUGGACCUUGGCGUUUUCUCAAGGGUCGUUCACCACAGUAGGUUUUAUCAGCCUAGUAUUACAGGAAUACUUGAGACAGUCAACAUAUCCCAUGAUUAACCCUAAACCCUUGUAUUUUUUCACUCCUGUUAUUAGUACAGGCAUAAAAACUCGACUUAGUUUUUAUGCAUUUUUUUCCUCAUUUUGUAUCAUGGUGACCUGGCAAAGGAUGUUUGUGUUUUAUGUAAUAUUGCACUAUAUUGUAUUUGGUGUCUCUCUUUGGAGGAGAUGGCCUAAUUGAAUGAAACUCAAUCUUUACUCUAUCGAUCUACCAAUGACAAAAGAAGCAAAUAGAAGAUCAUUCAUCCCGAACCCCCUCUCUGUGUAUAAUAUUAGCUAAUUUAUCUAAUAUAAAUUACGUAAAGCUUAAUUCGAACUUGGAUAUCUCUCUCAGAGGAAUAUUGGCUAAUUAAUUUAAUUCCAACCACCACACCUAUCUGAGGCAAUGUUUCCUUCUUAGUCUAGUUUUAUACCAACUUUAUCGUUGGAUUCUCCUAGCAUUAUCCUGCCCUCUAUGGCUUGACUCUUAACAAUUUACUGUUUUCUUAACAUUUCAAAGUGUAUCUACAUUUCAAUGUUUCAAGUUAUAUAUAGUAGCUCAUCAGUUCACCAGCUUUUUGUUAAAUGCUUGUUAAUCUUGCUUCAACUAUGAAAUGAUUACAAUAAGUUGUUCGUUUCUAUUUUCUUCCACUUACGCUCCUGGGCAAAGAAUAACACACUGGAUUUAAGUCCUUGGUCUCAGAGACAUAAAAAUUAACCUAAUUAAAUUAGCGUCUCAUUCAGUGCUCAAUCAUUUUGGUUAAAGAGUCAGAUCUAAUCGCAAACCUACAAACCACUAGACAUUGGCUGUAUGUUGACAGCCUCCAACACUGGCACGCCUACUCUCAUACUUCCUCUCAAGCCAUCUCUUGGCACUGAGAAAGAAAGCAACACCCAAGACAAGUCACAUGUUGACAUAAGUCAGGUUCUGUCUGAUUUUGACACUAACACGCCCAGAUCUACUCAUUCAUUCAUGUUAAUUAUUUGUAUCAUUACUAAUUGAAUUUUCAAAGGUUUUUGGAUGAUGAUCCAUUAUAUGAUUGGAGUGAGAACCUAAUGGAACUUUUUGGUAUUCCAAGCACAAGCAUAUUCAAUUUAUAGUGUCAAUUUUAAAUGAAAUUCAAAUUUGAAAAGGCUCAUCUUCACCAUACUUAGAACAUGAAAGACAUUAUAAUCACCAUGGACGGAGCCAAUGAAGGCUCACUGGAGGUAGAUGCCCCCACUCAAGUUAUUCGUUUGUUUAGUUGUAGACUACAAUUAUAUAAUAUACACGAGUUAUUUUUUAAGAAAAUAUAUGUAUUUAAUAUUCAACAUACAUUCAUUCUACUUAUACUUCAUAUCAAAUAUUAUAUGAGCAAUAAUGCUCUUGUUCUGUCAUUCAAACCAAAAAAAACCCCCUCCCGCCUAUCAUGUACUUAUAUUUUUCUCAUCACUUUGUCAUUUUCCACUACUAUAUUGAAAUUUUUGUAAUAUUGGAAUUAUGAUAUAUCAUCAUUUGAAACAAUCCUUAAUAUCAUAUUGUGUAUAACCAUACUAUAAUAAGGUUUUCUUAGUUGUUUUCAGUUGCCCCCACUAGAAGAAAUUUAUGGCUCCGUUCCUGAUAAUCACCCUCAUAAUAUUCAUUGGUUCGAUUGUAAGUCACAUUUUUUUAGUCUAGCAUAGGCAUGGCUAGAGGACGACCCUCAAACAUUCAUGGCUACCACAAUUUAUUAAAAAGGAAAAAAUUACAACGAGGGGACAAGUAGCCAAAACCGAGAAGAAAAAGACGAACAGGUUAGGUAUAUGGUUAUGCCCAACCACUCUCUACAACAACAAAAAUAAGAAACAAGAGUUGGAGCCUUGGAGGUGAAUCCCACCUAGAGCUCAUAGCACCAUGAUUUUCCAAAAUAUAUGCGGCUUAAUUAACUUCUCAGAAAAUAUGAGUCAGUGUGAUUCUACUGAAUUUACCCUUUUUAAUUUGUGGAGAUUCUUAAUUAGCUUAGGGUUUCCUUAAGUUGGUAGUUUUUUUAUGCAUGUGGAGAUUUUCAUACGUGAUUUUCAGAUUGCUCUUUCAUGCAGUUCUUGUGAGACUGCCCGUCGGGAUGGACGGAGGACCAGACUGACUCAGUCUCACCGCAUAUUUUGCAAGUUAAUUAGCCAACCUCAAUAAUGUUCAUAACUUUUUGAAACUAAAAUAAUAUUGAUAGAUUGACAAAAAAAAAAAAAAAACAUAAUUAUUGUUAGUUUUAUUCACAAUUAUUACAUGUUGCUGCGAUCUCCAUCACUAUAACACAGCACCACAUAUUUGAAAUUGGUACAUACACCCCCAAAAAAGUUAACUCGUCGUUUAGGGAAGGAAAUAGCUAGGAAAGCAACCUUAACACACUUAUUCCUUUCUUUUGUGCGCUCUUUUAACUUUUUGCUUUGAAUCAAACUAAUAAAAAUAAAGUGAAUUUUACACUUUCUUUCUAAUUUCUCACUUUUUUUUUUAUAUUUAUAAUCAUAGAAUAGAAUAAAAUCAACGGCUAGAAUUACACUGGUAUGUAAGACCAUCAUUAAAGGAUAUGUCAAAGUCAAAUAGGAUUGAAAGAUAUUCGGAUGUUAUCCAAUGGAGAUGUCAUACAUGAUGUGAUAACCCAGUUAUCUAGCUCCUUAUUUUUUAGCUGUAUUUUUAUUAUAGCAAACAAAGAAAGAGUCAAAUAUAUAAUUUUAAUUUUAAUUCAUGAGUCCUAUUGACAUCCAAUAAAACAAAAACUAAAAACAAUUUUAAUUAUUUUUUAAUAGCUAAUGUCCAAUAUAAUAAUAAAAUGAAUAUUUGACACAUUCAUUAAAAAAGAAGAAAAUUUAACAUUUGUAUUUAAUAGACCAUAUCUGCUAUCAGAUAAAAUUUUAAAAUAUUAGAUUCGACAUCUCAUUUUGGGAUGCUCUAAGAAACUAAAAAUAUUGUGGGAAAAUCACUUCCCAAUAAAGUACAUAUGGGUAUGCACAUAAGAGCAUCGGUAAUGAGAAGUAUAAAAUACCUUGAAAUGCGUAUUUUACAUUUUUUUUUUGUUAGCCUCGAAAAACAUUCCAAUUGAGAAAUGUAAAUUAUAUGUUUUGAAAACUUCAAUUUACAUCUUUUAUAUCUUUUGAUAGUGGGUUCCGUCAAUUAAUGAGAGAAAAUUAAAUAGUAUCUCAAAUUUACAACUCUUUCAUUGACGUAGAACUUAUUUACAUAUCAUGAAAUGUAAAAUGAGAUAUAAAUAUGGUUUUUUCUCCCCAAAUUUGCAUCUCCCAAUUGGAGAUGCUCUAAGAAGAAAAAAGUUGUGCACAUAUCAUGUGUAUUCAAUUGAGAUUUAAAAGUUCUUAAAGAGUCAUAAAUUCACGAAGUUUGAUAGAGUUCUAGUGGAGUUUUAUAGACUCCAUGUGAAUUCAGUCAAAAUCUUAGAGAAAGAUGCUUGAUUUCCUAAAUCCUAAUAUACCCUAUAAAAUUCUUCAAAAUUCUUAAUUUUUAAAAUACUUUAACAAUCAACUUAUAGUUGAAUACAAAUGGAGUUUAAUAGACUUUUUUAAAAUCUUGAUUAAAUACAUGCAGAUUCCUAUGUGGUUUUAUGAACUCCUUUAAAUUUUUAAUUGAAUACCUAUGGACUUCCUUUCAUCCAUAUCCACUACACGAAUCUCAAAAUUCAAACUCAUCUAUCGGUGAUAAAUAAGGUGGUGCACACCAAACUAAAUGGUGGUGAGCAAAAAUGCUUCCCAAGUUAUUUGGUUUAACUUAAUAAAUAAUUUCGUAUAUUGUGCUAAGUUAAUAAGCAUUUAAUUUUCUAGCAUAGGUCAGUUGAAGCAACUAUUCGCUUCCAUUAAGGUAAAUAAAAACUAUUUUUUCUCUAAAACAUAGGUCAAUAACACUUGCUCAAAUUUCUAUUCAUUGACCGCUUCUUGAAAAAACAUAGGUCAAUAACACUUGCAAAAGUUUCUAUUCAUUGACCGCUCCUUAAAAACACAAAAUCUUAAUUGAUUCAAAAUGUAAUUGCAUUUUGCUCAAUAUUUCGGUCAUUUUAUCAAUAUUUCUUCAAAUAAACAAGAGUAGUGCUAUGCUAAUAAUUUAUUUGUAUUAUCUUUCUAAUAUAGGUAGGACAACUACCACAUUUAAGUUCUAUCUCUAUUAAAAAUAUAGUACAAAUGGUAUUAAUAAAUAAUAUAAAUAAAAUAAGCAUAAAUGGUUUACUACAUAAAGUGGGUACAAAUUUCAUUGUUAAGAGAAUGAUAGAAACUAUAUAUAAUUAACAAAAUCAGAUACAAACUCCACUACUUGUGACAUACCCCAGAUAACAAUUCGUUUAUUAUAUAAAGUGGGGACAAAUUGCCUUGUUAAGAAUAUGAUAGAAACUAUAUAUUAUUAACAGAAUCAGAUACAAUCUCCACUACUUGGGCACACCCCAGAUACCAACUAAUACCUCCAAAUCCAAAACAAACACAUCUCUAAAUCGCCGCCCUUUCCACCUCACAAUAUUUAGCAUUAAUCAUUUUCUACAAUCAAUUAAAAAAAAUGAAAAAAAAUGCACCCUUGUUCUUCUUCUACAUGGUUGAGGUAAUUAAGCCAAAAUCAACAUGCCAGUCGACGCUGACGAAAUAUAUGAUGCCGCUGGAGUUUGCAUUGGCGUCAUCGCCAUAAUCAUACUCAUAUACUGGAUCUCUUACUGCAAGCGGAGACAAUCUCCGGUUGACCCGUCGGACCAUGACGAGGGCUCCGCAACCAUAGAACAAGGGCUUGAUGAAGCUACAAUAUGCAGCUACCCGAAACUGCCCUACUCCGAGGCCAAGCUUCAAAUGGUUGGUUCAGUUUCAGCGCCUUCUUGCUGUUGCAUAUGCUUGGCAGAUUUUGAUGACACAGAUACAUUGAGAUGUGUGCCUAACUGUGGCCAUUUUUUUCACCAAAUUUGUGUGGAUAAAUGGUUGCAGCUCCACCCUUCUUGCCCGAUUUGCAGAACGUCGCCUCUGGAUCCAUCUGUGGGAUCGAUGAAUACUUCUGAGGUGUAAUUAGUUGCUGAUUAGAUGGAUUGAAGUUUAGGAUUAGUUCAUUUUCUUUGAUGAGUCAAUAUACUCAUGUAUCAGUUGUAAACAAUUUCAAGAAUUAUUGUGCAUCAAGAAACACUGAUAAAAGUUUAAUUUCCAUUUGCCAUUUUUUUAAAUUUAUUAUUCGAAACUAUUACAAUAAUUAAAUAGAAACGAGAGUUUCAAACUCGAAAAAGUAGAAACUCAAUAACAUGUCUACUCAAAUAUUGGGCCACAUGCAUUUAUCAAUUAAUUUAGAUCAAAUUAUGUGGCUUUAAUUUGGUCGCAUCUCUCUUUUCUUGUUGAAUUGACCACACUGUUGAUUUGAUAUUCCAUGAACUCGUGUAUUUAUUUUUUUAAUAAAAGACUAAAAAGAUGGAGUGGAGAAGUAAAGGUUUUUAUAUAUUAAAAAAAUGAUUUAGGUAUACAUUUGUUUGUUUUUGUAAAUUUAUUCUUUUUUGGUUCAUUCAAUUUAAAUGCCAAGUUGCCCAAAAGUAAACAUGAAUCGAAACUCAAGAGUGCAUACAAACUUGACUUGACUUGAUUCUUGACUUGACUUGACUUGAUUGACAAACUUGACUUGAUUCGUAAUUCUUACUAGCAAACUGAUUCUGAUUCAAACUGGUUAGUGUUGAGAGAAUGGAGAGAACCCGUCACUAAACUAAUGAGAUUUCCAUAUCUCAAUAGUAACAAAAAAUGAACAAACACAACUAUCACUCGAGUGAUCACGGAUCCAAGCACUUGAAUAACGAACGAGUAAACUCCACAGCAAAACUCAUCCGUGUGGGCUUCCAACACAAAAAAAAAUGAGCAAACAAGCCAUUUUCUUUUCCUUGCCCAUGUGGGCGUCAAAACCUCCAAACAAAUUUUUUCCUUUUUCCUUUUUUUUUUCUUUUUUUUUCUUGUUUUCUCCAAACAAGUGCAGCAAUCCUCAAAUUUGAUUGCAGGGCAGGGUGACGACCGCGUGCUAUGGCAAUGGGAUUCUAGUGGUGGUUCAAAGCAAACAUUUUCAAUUUUUUUUCUUCUCAAAACUAACACUGAAAACUAAUAUCAAACAAACAACAUGGAUACCUAUCAAGAACGGAUUAAAUCCCGAAAGAUCAAACAUACUCUGAUACCAAGUUGAAUAUCAGAGUGCACGACGAACAAGACUAACAAAAUAAUAGAAAUAUUAUUAAACAAACUGAGAAUGCCGAGACGGCUCCAAAACCCUAAGAGGCUACAUUGUGACUAACUUAUUUCUCAACUGAAUAACAAGCAUGCUAUUUAUAAUAAACUAACCUUAACCCUAAAAGGUAAGAAAUCAAAACCCUAAUGCUAACGGGCUAAGCCCAGAAAACCAAAUAUUCAAAUAAACUAAAAUCCUAAUAUUUUCCAACAAAAGAUAAUAUUGAGUGUACUCAAUAUAAACUGUGGACUUUUUAUCCUAGUAUGAUUCUACUUAGGCAAAUUUGGUUAUUCACCCCUAUAAAUAAAAGUGGUUUUACAACGUAGAGAGGACCUUCAGUCAACACACAAAUUAACACUCUACGCGAAACUUUCUCAUACCCUAAGAAAUAGUAAUUGCUUCACUAACACGUCAACCUAUAUUCAAUUUGGUUAAACAUCAAUUGAUUGACAACAACACAAAUUCAGUUUGGUUAAAAUCAUUGGAGUCGUAGAAUUAGCUCGGUCUAAGAGUUUCUUCGGUUGGUUAAACAACACCUGCUCCUUUUUUUACUGGUUAUCUAUCCCAAGUUUCAGGUGGCUAAGAAUCUCUAGUUGUUUCAUCGAAAAAGGUCACUUCAUCAACUCUCUCAGUGAAGUGAUCUGUCGGUUCAUUCACAAGUAUCAUUUAGAGUUAGGUCUUCAGAACGCCGAUUCGGCGUACAUAUAUUUUCACAAAUAUAGUUGAAACCUUGUCUUCAUGUUUUAGAGCCCAAUGCCGAGAGUGUUCCUUCCUUAGUCGAAGUUUCUUGGUGUAGAAAUUGAAAGUGUGUUUCAUUAUCAUACCAUCACUUAUUCAUUUGACCAAGCUCGGUAAUGAAUUGGCACACGCGCAUUAACAAUCAUCCAUAGAAAGACGUAGUUAGCUCGUAGAUUACUUCGGCUCAAUACGUGUAAUUUUUAGGGUCAGAGUUUCCUCACACUCUACAUCGUGAUGAUCAAAUUUCCCACACAUAUAACAUAUGUUUGGCAACAUUUCGUACCUUAAGUCCACCCAUUCCCAAUCCUCAUUGCCACCUAGGAAUUUUGUCUUCAUCCCUCACCGUAGCGGUUUGGACACAUCUAAUCCCACCAGAAUAAGCAGCACACUCGCCAAGCAAUCUCCUCCUCUGUUGCAAUCAGUAGUGCAUGUACCCAAAGCUAUCGCAAUCUCUCCCAAUCUCCUCCCCCAUCGCUAGUAUCAUCAAAAUCAGUGGCAGCCUUUUUACUUGUAUUCUUGUGUGGUAAAAAGAAUUUUGUACGGACUGUUGGAUAUAAGUCAACAAUCUGUGAUUUAAAUAUAUGCUAAUAAAUAAUAAAUGCAAUAGGAAUUGACAGAAUAUAAACUAGAAUACGAAUUAUAAAAACAGACAACUUGAAGAUCGAGGCUUGCGUACCGCAAUGUCCUUGAAACAGAAAUUUCGUCCCUACUCUCUGCUUGUAGUUCUACAGACGUCUGCUUCACCAGGAUUCAACGAUCAAAUUAAAAUUCCAGCACCGGAAAAUUUAACUUCUGGCGAAUUUAGUGUGUUUCUCUCAGUAAGAAGGUUUAGGAAUGUAGAAGAUGAAGUUGAUUAUUUUCUGUGUUUUCAAUGCCAUGCAGAUGGAUGUAUAUAUAGCAUAUGGAUGCCUGUUUGCAACAGGUAUGAGAAUGGGGUGUGACUGUUGGGAGACAUCUCUUCAGAAGGGUGCUUUGCUCUGUGUUUAGAAAGAACUCUCAGACUUCAUCUGAAAGGAUGAGUCUUUUCAUAAAAAAUAAAUAAUUAAUUAAAUCCGAAAAAUAAUUAAUUAAAUAAUUUAAUUAUUAUAGCCCAUUUUUUGAUAAUUAAAUAUAUAUUAAUUAUAUAUUAUUUAUAAUUAAUUAUAUAUUAAUUACCAAUUAAUUAAUACACCCCAAAGCCCAACCCCAAGGGUGAGCCCAAUUUUCUUCUCCAAGGCCUAUCUUCCAAUCACUUUCUAUAAGAGAUAAAGCCUUAUAAAGUGUGGAGACCUUGUGGGAAUGGUCAAUGUGGGACAAACUAGGGCUGGGCACGGGCCGGGCCGGGCCCAAUUUUGAAGGAACCGGACCUUACCCGUUUUAAAUAGUAACGGGGCGGGACGGGCCGGGUAAAGAGAUUUUGAGUUUUGGAACCGGACCUAACCCGGCCCGUUUGAAACGGGCCGAUUCGGGGCGGGUCCACGGGUCCAACUUUUUUUUUUUUUUUAAUACAUCAUUUUAUAAAAUGGAGCUGCAGCCUGCCGCUGCACUGCAGUGCACAACAGCACAUAUUACACUUACAAUUACAGAAAUAUUGAAGCACAGAUUGUUGAAGCACAAAUGCACAUCAGCACAUAUUAAUAUGAUCUCAUUUUAACAAUGGUUCACAAACUGAUACCAGUUAAUGCUUAAUCCCAGAUUUCGACCCUUUCCACCCAAAUCAUUUGAACAAAAGAUUUGAAAUUGGAACAUAACAGAGGUCAAGAUUUCAAAACCCAACAAAAUCUCUAAAUCUAGAAAACCUUAAUUUAAUUUUAAAUCCUAAAUCCCUAAAACAUAUUACCUUAACUGAAGAGGACUGUUAACAGAGCUCGACUGCGCUGCAAAUAUGAGUCUGAGUCAGGUGGAUGAGAUGAUUGAUUCAUCGUUUUGAGUUGUUUGACUUCGUCGUUCGUCCAUUCGAGUUCGACAGAGAGACUGAUUUCGAGAAAGUGAGUGAGAGAGAGACACAGCAGCAGCGGUUUAAGAUUACAUUAGAAAACAAGGAGCUCCAGAUCAUCGACCAUGAUUGCAUUCCCCAUCCCAAUUCCUUGCAUGCAUUCAAAAAUUAAAGCCACAUCAAACAAAGAAAUUCGCUAUAAAUUGAAUGAAAAAAAAACGAAGAGACGAUUUCAACUUCCCUGGAUCGAGGUUUGAUAUGGCGGCGGCGGACGGAGCUGAUAAUGGCAGCGGCGGACGGAGCUGAUGAUGGCGGCGGCAGACGAAGCUGGGACAGUGAGAGCGAGUCGGGAUGAGAGAUCGAGUUGGGAAAAAGGAAAAGUGAGUGACUAUGAGUAUAUGAGAACUGAGAAGACUGAAAUGAGGAUAAAACCAAUUAUUCUUGCUAGAAACGGGCCGGGCCGGGGGCCCGUUCCCUCCUAUUUCUAGAACCGCCCCGCCCCGCUAAUUUCUUGUACCCGCCCCGCCCCGCCCCGUUUUGUGUUUUGAAAUUUAGGACCCGCCCCUUACCCGCCCCAAAUCGCGGGUACCCGCCCCGACCCGCGGGUCCAGGACCCGUUUGCCCACCCCUAGGACAAACCCCACAUAAGAAAUUUCUACUCAAAAUUUUCAACAAUACGGACUUUUCAGGUUAUCAGCCUUUCACCUAGAAUGGGGCAAGAUGAAAGAACAAACAGAAUUAACAACUGCUCAAACAUGUUAGACUGUCAUUAAAAUCUGGAGGUCGUUCCAGAUAUAAUUCGACACUUUUUCAUCCUUAAUCCGAUCAAUGCAAUACUGCAAUUCUAGGGUAAAAGGUUUUUCAUUGGUUUAAUAUUUAAUACUUGGUACUGGACUAAGGUGGAACUUCGAAUACCUCGAUGGUAAUUUUAAUAAAUACUAAAUUUGGGAGGUGACGUUUUUCCGAAUCAAUGUCAUUGUUGGGGGGCUUUGAGCUCUGUGUCGGGCCUACAACUUACUCGUGUUUCGCCUCAGUACUCCUUACUUUGAAGUUAGCUUACUUCGGAAAGAUUGACAGAUUAAAUUAUAUUCCGCAAUUAUGAAGGAUGAAAAGAGUAAAGUGUUUUACUCUGACAGGCUUAAUGACUUAAAUAAGCUUCCAAUGCACAUUCUAGAGAAAUUAUUCUAGGAUAAUUCACUCACUGUAUAUUGGUAACUAUCUAUCUUCGAAGUGGAAGCGCAUUCUUAUAAGCAUAGUUAGGGCCAAUUGUGGGGACGAUUUUCUAGGCACAUGAUUGGUGACAAAAAGGAUCGGAAUACACGAAGCCCAUUGAGCGUAGUCUGGUAAGCCAGAAUGAAGACCUAUUAAAGAUAUUACUUGUCCUUCAAGUAAGGAAAUCCUAAUUACUAUCAAAUUAGGAUAUAUUAAGGAUUAGGCAACAUAAUCAUGAUUCUAGUCUCCUGAUUACUUUUCCUACAAGAACUCUCAAAGGUCUCCAUAAAUACACUAGCUUGGGUAUUUAACGGAGGACGGGGGACACAUCUAUCUCUCUCUCAAACUUCUACACACAUAUUCUCUAUGCCUAACAAAGACCCUUACGUGGCCGUCUACGCGUAGACACGUCCAUGGAAAACUCGUCUCCUUAACGCGCCGUCAUAGGCUAUUCGUCAAGGAUGGUCCACUCUAUUCUAUCUUAAAACUACACACGUGGUUUGAUUUCCCUUUAUGUAGGCAGUCCAUUCAAUCAUACCAUCCAAUCAACCUCAUUCUUCCCUCAUCGAAGAUCAUGUGCUAUUCUGACUGGAUUUCACAUUUGCUUGCGGAUGUGCACAAAUUUGGUUUCAACAUGUUUGAUUAUGAUGAGACAUUCAAUAUGUUUGUUAAGCCUGCCAUUAUUUGUCUUGUUCUUAUUUUAGCAGUCACUCAUGGGUAAUCCAUUGGCCAACUAGACGUAAAAAAUGCCUAGCCACUUACAGGAGAAUGUCUUUAUGGUCCAACCACCGGGUUUUGUAGAUCCUCGUCACUCUCAUCGGGUUUGUAAAAUUACACAAGGCUUUUUAUGGUCUCAAAUAAGCUCCCCUAGCUUGAUUUCAGUGCUUCAGUACAUUCAUCAUCCGUCAAGGCUUUGUGCAAUGUCUUGUCGACCUCUCAUUCUUCACUUUCCAUCGUGGUAUAACCCAUCUUAUUUUUUUACUUUAUGUGGAUGAUAUUAUGUUAACUUGUAAUAAUUUUGGUUGCUCUUCGGCUAGAUCUCUUGAGACAUGAAUUUGAGAGACUUUGGUCCUCUUCAUUACUUUCUGGGUCUUGAGAUUCGUCCUACCUCGGUUGGUCUUCAUCUACCUCAAACCAAGUGUGCUAUUAAUUUACUCAAAAAGACAAAUAUGACUGAUUGUAAGCCAUGUAGAACUUCAUUGCCUCUCGUGCUUAGUUAUCUAAUCAGGAUGGCACACCACUUCGGUCUCAUGAAAAUUCCUCAUCUUUUGGGUUCUUUGUAGUAUCCUACUUUGAUUCGCCCAGAUAUCACCUAUACAGUUAAUCAUAUAUCUCAGUUCAUGUCUCGUCUCACACAGACUCAUCUCAUUACUGCUAACGCAUCCUACAAUAUGUUAAGCGUUCCCUGGACCAUGGGAUUUCCUUCCUUUGCUCCUCCAGUCCUCUUCUUUUCUAAUGCUAAUUGGGUUAGGUGUCCGGACACAUAUCAUUCCACUUCAGGUUUUCUUAUAUUUCCCUACACUGAAUUUGAUUUCCUAAAGCUCCACUAAACAGCGGACAGUCUCUCGAUUUAGGGCGGAAUCUGUAUACCAUUCAUUGGCUCGUGCUUGUGCCGAAUCCAUUGGCUUUCCUAUGUUCUGUGCGAGCUUCGUUUUCCUGUUACUUCACCCACCUUUAUGUUUUGUGAUAAUCUUAACACUACUUAUAUAGCUACCGAUCCAUUUUUUCAUGCUCAGAUGAAACAAAUUGAGCUUAACCAUAAUUUGUUCGUAAACAUGUGUAUUUGAAUAUUCACAAAGUCCAGUUUCCAAUCCUCACUUUGAAAUUCUACAUUCCAAACCUGUUGCUCCAAGACCACCAAGUUUAGGGGCUGUUAAUGUAGGAGAUGAAUUCUCAUGAGCUAAGUUUUGUAAAUUCCCAUGAGCUUAGAGCAACUCCACCGUUGCUAAGGCCCCCUAGGGCUAUUCACUAUUUAAUCCACCCAGUGAACAAUAACUGCCCUUAAUAAACAGUAAUUGCAUUUUGUAUCUCCAUCCCUACACUGAAUAGCCCUAACAAUAAGCAAUAAAAUAAUAGUAUUUUUUUAUUUAUAAAAUAAUACAAAAUAAUUAUUUUAAGAAAAGUAAAACAGACUCAAACACCACCUAGCGGUGACUUAAUAGAAUUGAACAUAAUAGAACCGAAUAGUUCCCAAUUCCGUCUCUCUCUGUUUCUAUCAUUCUCUGCAAAUUGCAAUGUCGAGAAACCACCAUGUCCUCCGCCUGGUGCUCUCAUGCCGCAAAAUCACAGCACAGGUGACGAGCCGCAGCAGCUCCUCAAUCAUAACCAUGGCCUCCUCCUCCGAGCAAGAGUUUGUCGUCCUCUACCCAUCCAAUCUCAACCGCUUCCCUCGCUCCCAAACCUUCUGGGACGCCAAGGUCGCCUCUCACGUCGGCGAGAAGCUCGCCCUCCGUCUCCAAGAUAUUGACGUCACCGGUGUUGAGAUCGACCUCUGCGAAGAGCUUUCCAUGCUCGUCCACCACCGCAUCAGGGUGUUGCCGCUCUUCGACUCUAUUCAGGCCUAUCCACCACGUGGCUGACGUCGCCCAGACGUCAGCCUUGCGUCACGUGGCCUUCGGGUUCUCGGGCUGGCUACUCGUGCCGAGCCUCUUCCUCGGGCUUGCUUGGGCUCAAUCGCCUGCAUACACUGGACCUCAUUGCUUGGGCUAUCUGGCCCUGUUUGAGAGCCAGUCCAUCGGGCUAUUGCCCACGGUAGAACUGCUCUUAGGUUACUAGUUUCCCAAGUCACUUGACUUGGAUGCUUUACUUGGGAUAUGUUUGUAGCUUUGUGAAAUCAAUUAUAAUUUUACAGAAAUGCCAUCUGCUCAUGUUUCUAAUACUUCAAUUGAUGACAGGUCAAAAACUUCAAUAGAAAUUAAAGCAUUUUAUCAAAAAAGAAAAACACUAGUCUAAUUCAACACCAGUUACGUUCUCGCUUGAUUAAUUACACACUCAUCAAUCUCCAAACUAAGGCUGAGAAGUUGGAGAACUAAAAGAACUUUAAAAAACAAAAUACAGAAGUCCAGAGAGAAAAAAAAAAUCCCUAAUCAAUCAAAGGUUAGUUGAUUUAUUGGGUUUUCCUUUUCCCAUAACAGACUGCUUAAUAAGUUGCUUCAGUCCCUUCUUCUUCUUUUUCUUAAUCACAUCAAUUUGAGUCCUCUCAACCUCACUGAUAUCAAUCUUCUCCUCUUUCUCACUCCUCCUGAUCAUCUCCUCUCUCUCUUUCUCACUCCUCUUGAUCAUCUCCGCCUCGUCACCUCUCUUCUUUUCGGCACUACUCUCCAUAAACUCCUCCUCCAGCUGCACGCACAGCUUCAGCACGCGGUCCUCAACGUGAUCCAGCCGCUCGAUCAGCGACCCCUUGGCGUCGGUCUCCAUCAUCACGUGCUCAAUCGGACGGCAGUGCUUCUCUAGGCUCUCGGGAGAGAUCAACUCCGCGGAUGAGGGUAAUUUCCCUCCCUCGCUCGUGAGGGUCCCGCUCGUCCUCGAGGGUGUGGACGUAAGCGAGCUACUCUUUGGCGUAUGAGUAUGUGAACGUGAAUGCGACUGCGAGCGUCGGAUUUCCUCCAACUGCCUCAGAAUUGUAUCGAGUCUGUCCAUCCUGAACAAAAUUGGUUCCUCGGUCGUGUUGGCCGUCGUCAUUGCCACCAUUAUUUUCCCGGGAAACAAACACUCCUUUGAUUCUUUUUUGUUAUUUUUCUUCGCUGUUUGAAGAUACCAGACAAAGAUAGAAUCAAGACGACGAAGGUUGCAGCUUGCUUAUUUAACGAGACUGAUACGUUGGACAGGUGUUAGAAUUGCGAUAAGACGACUGCUGAUAAAAAGUGUCGGCCGUAUGAGCUGCGAAUAGUUGCGGCCAUGCAGAGACUAAGCUUAGACACGUGUGCCAUUAGUGGUGCAGGGCCGUGUCGCAAUCCUGCGCCGGCCAUCGUCAGAUGACGGUGUGGAUUGGACUUUUGUGGAUUGGAGGACGGAGGUAGAUAUAUCAUCAGAUCUCGGCUGACAUUUCUUCAAAGGACGUGUGACAUUCGCAUCCACCCCUCAACGUCAUAAAAAUAAGGAUUAUCAUUAUGAAAAUCUAAUUGUCUCCCACGUACAAUUAAUUUUGUCGUACAAAUAUUAUAAUUGGAAGCGAUGUUUUUAGCAUACAAACGUAAAAUUAAAACACUUCAUUUUUGUUAUCAUCUAAUUAAAGAUCAUAUUUGUAAAAAGAUCAUUCAAUUUGAAAAUGGUAUAGUUACGAAUAUGCAUAAAACAAUAAACAGUUAAUUGUGAAGAUGUUACUUGUAUUUUUAACUACGUUAUUACAAUUUUAUUGUGAGACUAAACUGACUAUCUCACUCUUAGUGUAGAUAAUAUUGUUUGUUAAAAAAAUGUUCAUUUGAAGAUAAUUUUACAAAUUAUUUUUUAAACUAGAAAUUUGUCAUCUAAAUGUAAACAAAUUGACAUUAUAAGUAUAAUUAACAUAUUUAAAAUAAACUGUUUAUUUAUUUGAUACACUUGCUAAACAAAUUACUCAAUGUUGUGAUAUACAUUCUAAUACAUGAUUAUGUAAAUUCUUAUUGAAUUACUGUCUUAAUUCUGAUUGGGCCUUUGGCUUUGUCUAAAGCCCAAUGUUUGGUUGUUUAAUAGCCCAUAACGGGCUAGGGGUUAUGUAAGGCAUUCUUUAUGCCUUUUGGUUUGGGCGGCAGCGGAUGAGAGAAAAAGGAGCCGUCUGCCGACAGCUCCAAUUAGUCAGAAAAAGGAAACGCUGCUCCCCUUUUGUUAGUAAUCACUCGGUCAAAGAUAUUGGUGUUAGGUUUUGUGGCUUUUGGAAAAGAAGGGAUUCGGUAUAUCUUUCCAUCUUCUCCAUUUAUUCUUUGUAAGGGAUUUGGUAUAUGUUUCCAUCUUUUCCAUUUGUUCCUUGCAUGAGUGAGAGCUUUGUGUGUAUGUGGGUUUAGGGAUUUGAGAGUGAAACUGUUUGGACUUAUUUUUACACUAUCGGCCCAAGUAAUCGAGGUCGUUGAAUGAGCAGGAUUUUAGACCAACAAAGUGGUUGAAAUGUUUUUAAAUUAUUAUUGAGAAAUAAUAUUGUAAUUUUAAUUAUGAUAUUAUCUCUUAGUAAUGUAUUAAAUUAUUUAAACCUAAUAUUUGUCUAAAUCCCAAUUGAUUUGAAUGGUGAUGGAAUAUAGGGAUAAGCAUUAAGGCAUGGCAUCAGAUAACAGCAUGCAAAGAUAUUGGGAUACAAUUUGUAUAUGUGGUAUUGCUUUGGCCACGUGACACAUGCAUAAUUAGGACUCCUGUGCAAAGUGUUAUUUUGAUGGAAUAUGGCAUCUCAAGUGAUUAGCUGAUAUUGCAAUAAAAUUGCAUGCAUGGUUGCACGGAUGUCGUGGGAAAGGUAGCUUUAUAGUUUGCAUUGGGAGUCUUUGGCUAUGAAUGACUACUGAUGGAGUUUUGAUGUGAUGUGAUAAGCCUAUUUAGGUUUUUAUUAGCUUUGAAAAGUCAACCAUUUGAAGAUAGGCUAUAAGCCUAUGCCACAGAUCAGUUUGAGUUUUAGUCGGUUUCUGCUUAUGAUCCAGGCCGUGCCAAACAAAAAAUAUGUUCUUAUAAAUGCGGAGGCAAUGGCAACGCAUGAAGGACCUCCAAUUCAACACAUAAAUUGCCAUGCGCAUUCUCUCGCUCUAUGCGAAACCUCUCAACAACCUUGAGAUUUUUGUUUUCUUCUUUUCGCCGACGCAUUUUCAGUUUGGAUAAACAGCACUAUGAAGGCAACCGGCGACCAUCUUCAGUUUGGAUAAACAGCACUGUUGUCGUAGAAUCAUCCGACCGUGGAGCAUCUUCAGUUCGGAUAAACAACACUGCGACAUGGCCGACUGGUUACCUAUCAAAGUCUUGGUCGAGAAGGAUUUUUGAAUCCUUAUCGGCAGAGGUCGUCUCGUUAGCCUUCUCGGCGAAGCGAGGUGUUACAAGUUAUUAUACUCGGCACAUUGAACGCCGAGUCGUUUAUGAUUGGUUAUUCGCAAGUAGGUUUUAGAGUUCGGCAUUCUGACGACCGAACCACUUUCAUAAUCAAGACGUAUAUUUGUUUUGAAUACUUGUGUCCUUAUACUUUGGUGUCGAUUCGGCGUGCUUAUACUCUUGCGAAUAUAAUCACAAUGACCGAAUCCGGCGCCGACGAUUUGUGAACUUCGCAAAACUAGUAGCUUUGUCUUCAAGCUCUAGAACCUGAAGGCCAGGCGUGUUCUUUCCUCGGCCCCAGUUGCACGAUCGAGAAGUCAACCGCGCACCCAACGCAACAUCAACAAAUUUUACUCCUCGGUCGAGCUCGGCCAACGAGUUGGCACGCUCCGCAUACAACCGAAUGACGUAGUUAGCUUACGAAUUAUUCGGCAUGCGCGCCACGUAGGUUUACUAGUUUUUAGGGUCAACAUUUUGGCACGCCCAGUGGGACCCAAUGUUAAAACUACGAAGUUCACAUGAUAUAUGAAGAUCACAAUGAGAUUUGGCGCCUAUUCAAGGAAAUUGUCGAGCAACAACUCCUUGGCCAGAUCAUUGAAGAAAAUAAAGAAAGGCAAAAGUCUUUCUCUCAGAAGGCUGGGGGGCAAUUUUUCGCUCCGGCCACAAUUAAAAGUUGGCCUCAGAACAUUGUUGAGAUAGUAAAAAAAGAACCUAGGCCACCUGUUUUUUCAGUCGAGACUGAAAUUAUGGUAGGCCUAGAAGCAAAAGUUCAUGUUUCUGAGCCACAAAUCGACUUAGAAAAUGAUUCGUCAGAUGAGUGCUCCAAUGACGAACAAGGCCGAGACAUGGGCCUAGCCGAAAAAACCACGCCAAUCAAUAUGAUUAUUGGCGAUAAAGCCGAUAUAGAGAUAUUCGAUUCGGCUAAGUUAUUUAAGUUAAAAGCCAAAAUUGACGAAAUUAUUAUGCCUAGGGGGCAUAAUAAUUGUUCAACACAUUCGGCGGCCGAUAAAAAAUCUUUCGUCAAGUCAAACAUAUUUGGAAAUAUUAUUUUAUUCGGCCUUGCAAAAAUUCAAAGUGAAAGUUUUGAUACAAAAAGCCUUUGGCUUGGAAUAAAACAUCGUUGGCCUUCUCCACUUUAUAGUACGGCCACUUUUCUAUGCAUUUGCUAAAUUAUUUUCUUAACCAUUCGGCCCCUUGGCCGAUACUUAAGAAAAUAGGGGGGCAAUGAGCAUUGAAGCCCUCAUAUAUAUAAAAAAUAAAAAUAAAAAAAUAAAAAAAAUUAAUCAUUCGAUUGUGUAGGGUGAGCUCGGCCAAAAGAAUCAUUGGAUUCAAAUACAAGUUCAUGGAUUCUUAACAGUAUCGUUGGGCGAGUUCGGCCAAAAGAUAUAUUACGCCGAGCCAUUCAAUUCAAUGCAUGCACGCAACAUGGUGGAUAAGAGUAUGCUAGCCAACUAUUUGCUUGGUCGGUAUAUAUAGCCGACUGUUUGCCGAGCUCGGCAAAGGUUAUCAUAAGGUAAUUCGGCCUGUAGGAAAUAUAGUUCUUGACCAUGAAGUCAUUCAGCCCGCAAAAUAUAUAUAUAUAUAUAUAUAUAUAUUGCUUAAGGGGAGGGAUCCCCAUUUUUUCAAAAAAAUGGGGAGCCUUCUCCUGACCAUUGGAUGAACUGAGUGGUUGAGAUUAAAUAUCUGAUAUAUAUCAAAUUUCUUUUUCCUUUUUCUUUUCUGGUUCCCGCUUCUUCCUUGCAACACAGAGCUUCACACGAACAGAGCUUCGCACCAGAGCUUUGCACCAGCCAAAUCACAGGCCAUCGCGAAUAACCUUUGAGAUUUCAGGUAUAGGUCUCCUCCUCAUUCAUUAUUUUAGAUGAUUAAUUUGAAAUUUGGGUUGAACAAUUAGGGUUUUUUUCUGAUUCGGGAAAGACAAGCAACAUGUAGGGGAGGCGAAUGAGACAUUUUGCUUCUGUUGCUUUGAGAUUUCAAGACAUCGCCUCUAACCUUUGUGAUUCACUCAUCUUAUAACGUUGAAAGAUAAGCAGCAGGUAUGCAAAACUGUUUUUGAUGCUUUUUAUUAUUCUUUUUGGUGUGGAAAAGCAUUACUCACGUAGACAGUUCACUGAAAAUCGAGAGGCAGUGGAUAAUUUGAGUGGUUUUCUUUAGGGUUUUAGGGUAAAGACCUUUUGAGUUCUAAUUCAAAUUGGUUACAGAUUUUUCUUGAAAAUUUUGAGUUUUGUUCUUCUUUUCAAGUUUUGUUGAUGCAUUUUAUUAUUCUUUUUGGUGUGGAUGUUUGAUUGUUCUAAUGUUCAUGUUUAAGUUAUGGAAGCUAAUGAGAUGGCUAUUGAAGUUACGAGAACUAAUGAAAUGCCUAAUCAAGUUAUGGAGGCUAUGGAAGCUAAUGAGAUGACUAUUAAAGUUAUGGGAGCUGAUGAAAUGCCUGUUCAAGUUAUGGAAGCUUAUGAAAUGCAAGUUCCAAUGGAAAAUCAAUCAGAAAUUGUAGCUGGUAUUUGUUUUUUCUAUCCUCAAGUAACAGAUGAGUUCAAGCCUACCAUAGGUCAAUAUUUCGAAACAUUAGACGAAGUGAUUGAAUUUUACAACAACUAUGCAAUGGAGGCUGGGUUUAGUGUCCGAAUGCAUUCAAGUAAGAAAAAUAAGGAUGGUGAGAUCAUGAGAAAGGAGUUUGUGUGCAACAAAGAGGGAAGUAUACAAAAGAAUGGAUUGGUGACGAACAAAAGCAUCGUGGAUUAACCAAAAAAGGUUGUAAAGCAAGAUUGAUAGUUGUGAGAUCUAAACUUGGUGGGUAUGCAGUCACCAUAUUUCACGAGGGCCAUAAUCAUCCAAUGACAUCCCCACGAAGACGCCACUUGCUAAAGUCUCAUCGCAAGGUUACUAAGUGUCAUACAAUAUUAGCUGAUCAGCUAGACAUAGCAAACAUACCUCCACACAAACAAUUUAACAUUCUUGGAUUGCAGGUAGGUGGAAUUGAAAAUGUUGGUUGUACACAAAAAGAUUUAUAUAACUACAGAAGCAAGGUGCGAAAUAAGAUGAAGGGGCAUGAUGGAAAAAUGUUGCAUGAUCAUUUUUUGCUAGAGCAAGAAAGAAAUUCUGAAUUCACAUUCAAGAUUCAAGUAGAUGAAGAACACAAGAUUACUCAAUGUUUUUGGGCCGAUGCAAGUUCUAGGCAAGCAUACAAGUUUUAUGGUGAUGUGGUCAUUUUUGACACUACAUACAACACCAAUCGGUAUAGUAUGAUAUUUGCCCCGUUCAUGAGUGUAAACAAUCAUGGUCAAACAAUCGUUUUGGCUGGUGCCUUCUAAGUGACGAGACGAUAGAUUCAUUCAUUUGGUUAUUUAGAGAAUUUUUGAAUGCCAUGCCAGGUGAUGCUCCAAAAAUGAUUAUUACUGAUCAAGAUCUGGCAAUGACAAAAGCCAUUCCUUACUGUUUUCCAAACACGUUUCACAGAUUCUGUACGUGGCAUAUUUUGGAUAAGUUCUCGAGCAAGCUUCCUCCGAUGAAAUACAAAGAUCAUUAUUUAGAUUUCAAAGCAUGUAUUUGGGAGUCAGAGACUAUAGAGGAGUUUGAUGUGAAAUGGAUGGCUGUUGUUUCAAAAAGUGGAUUAUCUGGUAAUGGCUGGUUGCAAUCGAUAUAUAGGAUUCGAUCUACUUGGGUUCCAACCUAUGUUAAUCAUGUUUUUUCUGCAAAUUGCUCAACUAGUCAGAAAGCUGAGAAUGGACAUUUAUUUCUAAAGAAAUAUGUUUCCAAGAACAACUCAUUCCUCGAGUUUAUGGUUAAUUAUAAUAGGGCAUUGGCACGCCAACGCCAUUCGGAGUUGAAGGCAGAUCAUAUUGAUUUGAACGAGAGGCCAAAACUCAAAUGCCCUAUUAAGAUGGAUGCGCAAAUGGCCAAUAUUUAUACACGUAGCUCUUACCUUGAUUUUCAAGAGCAGUUGUGGGAAAGUUACAGCUAUAAUAUUGAGCUUACAAGCGAAAAUGAUACUUGCAGCAUGUUUAAAGUUUUGCCCAUUGAUGACGAAAAGGGUAGAGUUCGUGAAAUUUUGUAUGAAAAAUCCAGGGAUUUUGCAUCAUGUAGCUACAAACAAUUUGAUAGUUCAGGAAUCCCAUGCAGCCAUCUUUUGGCAUAUUUGCAUAAAAUACGUUAAUUUCAUAUAUUGCCAGAUGAAUACAUUUUGAAGAGAUGGACUAAAUCUGCAAAAUCUUCGGUUACAGUUUCUAAUGUGGAGAUAUCUGUCAACAAAUCUGUACUUAAAAGGCGUGGUAAAUUAUUCCAACAAUAUUCGCAUUUGAUUGAUAAAGUCAUUCUAAAUGAUGAGGCAAGUAAACUCUUUUGUGAGGCAAUGGAUGUUGUGAAUGAGAAGAUUAAGCCAUUGGUUGGUGGUACCAAUGAAAUGUGGAACCUUCUACAACCAAAGGAGAUAUGGAAUGUCGUGCAAAAAGAAAAUCGAUAGUAGAUGAUGUUGGUUUUCUUGAACCUAAUCCUGUUAAGACCAAAGGAUCUGGAAAAAAACUUAAAAAGGGAAAAGAGAAAGGAAAAUGCAAGAAGAGGGUUAAUGGUAACCUUUGUCAUGGGUGUGGGCAAUAUGGAGUUAAUCAUGACAAAAGAAAUUGUCCGGAGCUCCACAAUCGGUAAAAAUACAUACUCCGCGUGUUUUUGUAUGUAUAUCGUGCAAUUAAUAUAUCAAUAGUUGAAAUGCGUUUGUUGUCUAUGAUGUAUAAUAGCAUUAUUAUUGUUAAUCAACAUUUUUAUGAUUUCUAUUUUGGUUAAUUGCAGAAUGAGCAACACUCAUUGUCUAUAGGAAGCUGAUCUCAUUUUUUUGUUCCUAAUUUGCAUGAUGUUAAUGAGGUUCCUCUGUUUUGCAUAAGUUUAUUCUAUGAAUUUUGAGGAAUUGGCCAUGAACUUGCAGAAUGAGGAGCACUCAUUGUCCAUAGGAAGCUGAUCUCAUUUUGUUUUUGUUCCUAAUUUGCAUGGUGUUAAUGAGGUUCCAUGGCAAUAUCAAAGCCCAUGUAUAUAAACCUGAAAAUUAAGGUUUUCAUUUCAAAACAAGCGUGGUGUGUCAUGUGUAAAUAACAGCUUAAAUAGUUGAUAUGUGAUAAAGACAAUGAAAAGCUCACUUACACAAACGUCUCCGCUAGUGAUGAUAUCAAAUGGAAAAAGUAAGAAACAAAUCUUUGAGGGUUUUCUGAUAAAUUUGAAUACGUAUAAUGCUUCAUGACUUAAAACAGAACACCAAUUUGUCCAUGGCACAGGUUUACCGUAGAAUAUAUUAAAAAGAAAAAAUGUACAGUUCUUCCACUUACCAUUCAUGUGAACAAUAUUGACACAAUACCAGACAGACCAAGACCUUCUACAAGCAUGUAACUAAACAGAUGAUAGUUCUACGUCAAUUUGCAUAUAAGGAGAAGGCCUUAAAACUAAUUUACAUAAGAUGAAAAACGGCCAAGAAGAUCACUCAUGAGAAAUAUGGAAAGAGGACAAACAGACAGCACUCCAAGUUUUGAAGACUGAAAAGAUAACAAGACAACCUCGUAAUUUCCACCGUAGUACUAACUAAACAAAGGCCAGCAAAGAAUGGAAGAGAAGAAUCACUCACUUGUCAAUAUCCAACCCUGCAUACUAAAAAAGGUUUUCACAAUUAAGAUCACUCACUUGUCAACUGCCAUGGCCAUCACAUGUCACACUGCAGUCAAACACAUAUAAAUAGUUCAUCACCAUUAUUUAAGUAAAAGCAAAUGGCAAACAAUUUUUAAGUAAAAGCAAAUGGCAAACAAUUUAAUUAGUAAUGAAAAUGGCAGCUUCAAUAGCAAGUCCUUACCAAUCGGGGGCUUUCCCUUCAAAAUCAAAACCCAAAAGGUUAUAAGGUCCCGAGUUCAUACUCUAUUAAUUCAGUCCAUCCAAAUCUGUAACCAAUUUGAAUUAGCACUCAAAAGGUCUUUACCCUAAAACCCGAAAGAAAACCACCAAAUUUAUGGACCCAUUUGAAACCAGAACCAUCCCGAAUCAGAACGCAAUAGGUUUUUGUGUUUAGAAUUUGAAAAACAUAAACCUCAAUUGUUCAACCCAAAUUCCAAAUGAAUCACCUAAAAUAGUGAAUGAGGAGGAGACCAAUACCUAAAAUCUCAAAGGUUAGAGGCUAUCGCCUGAAAUCUCAAAGCAACAGAAGCAAAAUGUCUCAUUCACAUCCCUUACCUGCUGCUUGUCUUUCCCGAAUCAGAAAAAACCCCAAUUGUUCAACCCAAAUUUCAAAUUAAUCUUCUAAAAUAGUGAAUGAGGAGGAGACCCAUACCUGAAAUCUCAAAGGUUAUUCGCAAUGACCUGUGAUUUGGCUGGUGCGAAGCUCUGGUGCGUAGCUCUGUUCGUGCGAAGCUCUGUGUCGCAAGGAAGAGGCGGGAACUAGAAAAGAAAAAGGAAAAAGAAAUCUAAUAUAUAUCAGCUAUUUAAUCUUAACCGCUCAUUUCAUCCAAUGGUCAGGAGAAGGCUCCCCAUUUUUUUGAAAAAAAUGGGAUCCCUCCCCUCAAGCAAUAUAUAUAUAUAAUGAGAAAUAAUAUAUAUUUCAUCCAAUGGUCAGGAGAAGGCUCCCCAAUUACGAACAAUUAAUUUCCUUAACCAUUCGGGCUUACGAGCCGAAAUUUAAGGAACUGGGGGGCAAUGUUUGGACCCAUUUUUACACUAUCGGCCUGAGUAAUUGAGGUCGUUGAAUGAGCAGAAUUUUAGACCAACAAAGUGGUUGAAAUGAUUUUCAAUUAUUAUUGAGAAAUAAUACUGUAAUUUUAAUUAUGAUAUUAUCUCUUAGUAAUAUAUUAAAUUAUUUAAACCUAAUAUUUGUCUAAAUCCCAAUUGAUUUGAAUGGUGAUGGAAUAUAGGGAUAUGCAUUAAGGCAUGGCAUCAGAUAACAACAUGCAAAGAUAAUGGGAUACGAUUUGCAUAUGUGGUAUUGCUUUGGCCACGUGACACAUGCAUAAUUAGGACUCCUGUGCAAAGUGGUAUUUUGAUGGAAGAUGGCAUCUCAAGUGAUUAGCCGAUAUUGCAAUAAAAUUGCAUGCAUGGUUGCACAGGUGUCGUGGGAAAGAUAGCUUUAUAGUUUGCAUUGGGAGUAUUUGGUUAUGAAUGACAGCUUAAUGGGAUAAAGCAAGGCUACUGAUGGAGUUUUGAUGUGAUGUGAUAAGCCUAUUUAGGUUUUUAUUAGCUUUGAAAAGUCAACCAUUUGAAGAUAGGCUUUAAGCCUAUGCUACGGAUCAGUUUGAGUUUUAGUCGGUUUCUGCUUAUGAUCCAGGCCGUACGUGCCAAACAAAAAAUAUGUUCCUAUAAAUGCAAAGGCAAUGGCAACGCAUGAAGGACCUCCAAUUCAACACACAAAUUGCCCUACGCAUUCUCUCGCUAUAUGUGAAACCUCUUAACAACCUUGAGAUUUUUGUUUUCUUCUUUUCAUCGACGCAUCUUCAGUUUAGAUAAACAGCACUGUGAAGGCAACUGGCGAACAUCUUCAGUUUCGAUAAACAACACUGUUGACGUAGAAUCAGCCGACUGUGGAGCAUCUUCAGUUUGGAUAAACAACAUUGCAACAUGGCCGACUGGUUACCUAUCAAAGUCUCGGUCGAGAAGAAUUUUUGAAUCCUUAUCGGCAGAGGUCGUCUCAUUAGCCUUCUCGGCGAAGCGAGGUAUUACAAGUUAUUAUACUCGGCACAUUGAACGCCGAGUCGUUUAUGAUUGGUUAUUCACAAGUAGGUUUUAGAGUUCAGCAUUCUGACGGUCGAACCACUUUCAUAAUCAAGACGUAUAUUCGUUUUGAAUACUUGUGUCCUUAUACUUUGGUGUCGAUUCGGCGUGCUUAUACUCUUAAGAAUAUAAUCACAGUGAUCGAAUUUGGCGUCGACGAUUUGUGAACUUCGCAGAACUAGUAGCUUUGUCUUCAAGUUCUAGAACCUGAAGGCCGAGGCGUAUUCCUUCCUCCGCCGCAGUCGUACAAUCGAGAAGUCAGCCGCGCACCCAACACAACAUCAACAAAUUUUACUCCUCGGCCGAGCUCGGUCGACGAGUUGGCACGCCCCGCAUACAACCGAAUGACAUGGUUAGCUUACUAAUUAUUUGGCAUGUGCGCCACGUAGGUUUAGUAGUUUUUAGGAUCAACAGAAACUAAAUUUAUAACCUUCAUUUUAAUUAUUAGUGGAAUUUCCUUGCCAUCUUCGAAUUAGACGUAGGCUUACAUCAAACCAGUAUAAAUUCUUGUGUCAUUUUGGGUUGUUUGUCUUUGCAUAUUUUGUCGUAAUAGGUUAUUGGUUUCAUAUUUGACACUUCCGCACAACAAUCCUAAGCAGAAAUAGAUUAAGAAUUCUUCUGGAUCUAGAAGAUCUUUUCUAUUAAACUUUGUAUUACUUGAAGAGUAAGUUUCUCUCCUCUUUAUUUUUAUAAAUAAAGGAGGUUGGGGGAAUUAACACACAUAAGUCCUUAAGCCUAUUCUCCAUCUCUCUUUCUCUCUUCCUAUGUUCCCUCUCUCUCUCCUCAAUUAAAUAUAGGCCACAACACUCAAAUAAUUAUAAAACAAUAAUUAAAAUUUGAACAGUUACAAUUAUACAUAUAUCUAUCAAGGUGGAGGCAAGUAUAAUCCUAUGGCCGAGGCUUUUUGAUCAAGCGAGUUGCUUGUAAACACAAAAUUUCUGUGACAAAUUAAACAAAAACACAUGUACAAAAUAAAGAAUUUGUAUUAGUGAGUGUUUAGUGUUACAAUCUUUGUUUACAAAGUUGAAUCCUCUUAUUCGAUCUCUGGUGUGUAGAGUAUGUGGUUAAUCCAGGUGUCGCGAUGACUUGAUCUUGCAUGAAUGGAUGUCGCAAGGUUUAUGCUCUCGGCAAUGGAGGUACAUUCACGUGUAGGGGGCUUGGUGGUUCACGAGAGUGACGAAGAGCGCAGUGAGUUUUAUGAGUCUUCUGGAAGUUUAAGACUAUUUGAGGCUUGAGAAUUUGAGUGUCUGGGAGAGGAUAAACUUCUGACCAUUUUUUUGUCCUGAAGCCUCAUAUUUAUAUGCUCUCCAAGUCUUGCAUACAGUUGAAUUUGAUCUUGAUAUUGGACUUGAUUAAUUGAUGAAAGAACCAAGACUUGAUUUUGGACUUGGUUCGUGAUUUGACUUCAUCAAAUAAUUAGUCACAUUAAAUUUAAAUCAACUAAUUUGUAUUAUUUAAAUCAAAAUUAAUCAAAUAUUAAUAAAAAUUAUUCCUUAAUUAGUUUUCGCCAAAUUUCAACAUGUGUCACCCUUGAUGACUUGUUCAUGUGUACAAUUUGUGAGAUGCAUGAUGUAUGUCAUGUCAGCCCUGACAUGUUGAAAUUUGAUAUGUUGGUGAACAUUUAUUUCACCGAAAUUUUGGUGUUUACAUUGCUCUUUCUUCGCUUCACACCAUGGUCCGAAAUGCCGAUAAUAUCGGCGAUAUAUCAUCGAUAUUAUCGGUUUUUAGGGGAACCGAUUUUUUUUUCAAUAUCCAAAUGGUUUUCGGGAUAAUAUCGCGAUAUUAUCGAUAAUAUAAGUUGAAUUAUUUUUCCAAAAAAGAUAGGAAUAUAAGCAAUUAUAUAUUGACAUAACUCAAUCGAGUAACUAGGCAAGGUAAUUGUUUUGGUUCGAGUUCGCCAGUUAAAGCCGUACACAAGAUUGCAUGAGGAUUGGUGAAUCUAGUGAUGCUGACUGCCCUAUUAAUUGCGGUCAUUAAUUUAACGUAAUCCAUUCGCCACACAAAUUUCAAAACUCAAACUCAAUCAUCUAACGGCAAUCAAUGAACUAAUGAACUAGUUCAUCACCAUCACUUAAUAGGCGGCCAGCAAAACUAUUCACAUAACUGAAAUAGUCACUUGUUAGAAACUUAGAAUAUGAUUGUAUGAGUAUAGGAGAAAGGUUGCCAUGGAAUUGGAGGGCUUAAAAGUAUGAUAAAUUACUGUUUCAGUGACAGUUUUCAGCUCUCUCAUAAAUAUGUUGGCUAUUUAUGUUCAAAUUUUACAUGAAAUUCAACCCUUUUACAUUACAACGAAACACGUUCUUCGUUCACCUCGUAUCAUCUACAAACAGUGCAAUCUUCGAAUGGACAAACCAGUUCACAGAAACAACAUCAGAACAAAAUAUUAUUGACUCCCACCUCUCGAGCUUUACUUGGGCGAACGAACAAAGAAAAUUUGAAUGUGAACAAGUAACAUUGUCGUUCCUCAGUCUAGCAGUUGAUUCCACACUCCUCAAUAUCUGGACCGGUGACUCUCGUGGUAAAGGGAUCAACCCUCACCCACAACAAUGAGAAAAUUGAAGCAAGGAGAAUCGACCACACGAUUACAAUGGUGGGCGUACGGUUCUGGCGCCCCAUGAGACCCUUGAGGAAUGGAUACAAAUGGACAAUCACCCAAAAGGCAAAGAAGAGCUUACCAAAGAGGGGACCCCAUGAUUGGUAACCACUGUUGACGGCAUACGAUAUACCUGCAACAACCCCCACCAAGUUUAUGAUGAGGAGAGUCGUUGGUGGGAUGAGAAGGGUAGUCCAUUUAAACAUGUAGAGUUCAUUAAAGUCCCCGUCUUCGUCUGAUGCCUUGGAGGUGACAGUGAAGUUGGUGUCAAUACCAGCAAGUACUUUGAGGAGACCUUGGACAACCGCAAACAGAUGGGCAGAAACACCACCAAUAACCCAAAACUGUUCAUUUCUCCACCACUCAUCGAUUCCAACACCACUCCACCUCAUCUCUAGAAUACCGGUUGCAAAGAUAGAAAGAAAGAGGGAGAUAAACCAUAUACUCGCAAGGUUGCUAAUCUGCAACCAGAAUAAGCCCAAAUUUAGUGAAUUUUUACACAAGUCUUUUAACAAAAUUUCAGAUUGAGAUUAUAAUAAAUCUGCAUGAACUACGGGAAAAAUUAUAUAUCUUAUCAAUAUAUAGAUAUCCUAUGUCAUGGUUUCGGGAAAAGUAUAUUUAUUAUGGUGAAUUGAGAGGCUCCUCAAUUCAUAAAACAAAGAAAAUCUAUCACUGCCUUCCGAACCUAUUAAAACAGCAGGUUUUGCUAAACGAUCACAUAGAAGCAGUGCUCUAUAAGACCACAAGAAAAAAUUAAAGACACAGGGCAAUUAUUGUGAUGUAACGAACCUGUGGGAUGAUAAAUUUGUUGGUAAGAAGACAGACAGCCGGCAGUGUACAGUACAUGAGAAGAGGUAUGGAAGUGAUUGGGUAAAUGGUAGUGUUCACAUACGCAAAUCUCUCCAGCCAUUUUAGCCUCCCACUGUAACCAUACCAGAUAGGACAAUGCCGACUAAGAAGAAUUUCCACAGAUCCCAAAGCCCAUCGAAGCACUUGGUUCAGACGAUCUGAAAGAUUAAUAGGAGCAGACCCUUUAAAGGCUGGGAGCUUAGGCAUGCAGUAUAUAGACCUCCACCCGCGGGCAUGCAUCUUGAAUCCUGUAAGAAUAUCUUCUGUGACAGAACCAUAGAUCCAUCCAAUCUGUGGGAGACAAAUAAUCAUCCUCUUAAGAGUGAAGAAAAAAUGACAACAGGGAACAGAAAAUAAAAGUAGGCCAUCGAAGUCCAAUCUAAACCAAUGACUGCUACUGAAAAUCCUUAGAAAUUACAUAUAAAAAGCAGGAGGAAGAAUCAGAAUUUAUAUGAAAGUUGAUGAAAUUUGAAGUGUCAAAGAGACUCACAGUCAGCAGCAUAUUUCAACCACACAAAAUUACACUAAGGCAGCUUAAUUAUGUAAAUGUCUAGACAAACGAAUUUCAAAGGUGAUACUAAGCAACAUUUGUUAUUCUUUCCUCGUUGCAUUGGAAAUAAAAGGAUACUGCAUAAGGUAACAGAAGCAUUAAAAAUAAUGGCAUACCUCGUUUCCCCAAUCAGAUUUGUCUUCAUAUCCACAGCUGAUAACAUGAAUAGCUUCUUUAAGUAGAGUUUCUGGUGUUGCAGAUUGAGGAACACCGCCAUUCUCCAUCAGUGUAGAGGCAACAAAAACAGAAGACUGGCCGAACCUCUUUUCUAGGCUCAUUUGUGACAUCAAUAAUGACUUCUCAUCGUCAAAUCCAGCACCUGAUGUUGAAUAAAAUGUACGUUGAGUGUUCCAACUAAUAAAAUUAAUAACAGGAAGAGAAAGAAAAAUCUCCUGCAUUGACUCAUUAUUUAUGCCACCUGGAAGUAGGCAUUAUAUGUAUUGUACUCUGCCUCCAUUAUAUACAAAUGAAAUAUGAACAAACUAAAGAUACAAAACGGAUAUUCAAAUUACCUUCCACCCCCUCUUCAAUAUCCUCUAGACUGAAAAUUGGCACAGUAGGAUCGACAUUCUUAUUUGAUUUCUUUUUGUCCGAUCCCUUUUUACUUGAUUUUGAACCCUUCUUCCGUGAUCCACCACAAAGUGAAGAUAGAACUCCAGUUUUCUUAUGCUUAGGUUUGACAGGAGGUUCGUAACCAUACAAAGCUGUUCUAUUGAAGACACAUCCAGUACCCACAUAAACUGGCCCUUGAAUACCAUCUAAACCCCUCAAGUUAAUCUGAAAUCCAGAAGGAAACGGACAACAUAUUAAUCAAUCUAUGCAAGCCCAUGGUGAAAUAAGUAACUGUCUUCUGUGGUUACUACAAGGAUAGAGAACUUACAUCAAAGAAAACAGUGUUACGAUUGGCAUAUCGAUCGUUUCUAUCAAUACCAUCAAACCUCUGUGGGAACUGAACAUAACACACAUUUUUCCCAAGGUUAGGAUCCAUUAGAAAGCACAUAGCUUCCCUCAAGGCCUUACUGUUGUUGAUGUAAUGAUCACAAUCAAGAUUCAACAGGAAAGGUCCGUUAGUGAGGACUGCAGAUACCCGAACCUGCAAGAGAGUUUCAUUGGCAUCAGAUGAAGAAAAAAACCUAAUUCUACAGAGAUAAAGUGAUAAACCAACUCUAGAACAUAAAAAUACAAAAUACUCACAAGUGCAUUCAUAGCACCAGCCUUCUUGUGAUGUUGGAAACCUGGACGCUUUUCACGAGAAACAUAGACUAAACGUGGCAGUUCAUUACCAUCAGUAUCGAGCCCUCCACUUUGGCCUAAGAAAACCUGAAAGUGGAAAGAUAAAUACAGAUCUUAGUACAAAACGAAAUCAUAUAUUUUAUACUCAGCUUCAGUAUUCCAUACAAGCGUCAACUAGUCAGUAUCAACUUCAAUAACUAUCUCCCAUAGCUUAAAGAGAUCUGUCACAUAAGAUAUAUCCACCUGAAUCAUUCCUGGAUGGUCUCUAGUAUUAUUUCCAGGCCAUGGGGUACCAUCUUGCAUGAUCCAUCCUUCUUCGGGUAUUUUUGUGGCCUUUGCAACAAGCCCGUUAACACGAACUUUAAAUUCUUCGUAUUCUCUCUGAAACCAAAAAGGAAAGACUACGAGUGAGGAGGAGCACCUUUGUAAUGGGGCAGAGUGUUUUAGAUGUUUACGCUAAGGGCCUACCUUCAUUGCUCUACGCUCUUUGACGAAUGAUGGUUGAACUUUAUCCUUUAAGUAAUCAAUCUUCUGUGAAAAGUACCAUUCAGGAGCCCGAGGCUCAAUAGCAUACUUCUUGCAGAAAGGGACCCAUUUCCUAGCAAAUUCUGAAGUUUCAGACAGAGCUUCAAACGUCAACAUUGCAGCUCCAUCAUCAGAAACAUAGCAAGAAACCUUGUCAACCGGGUAGUCAACUGCAAGAAUAGAUAGCACAGUAUUUGCUGUCACCAUAGGAGGCUCCUUCAAUGGAUCAACAGUACUGACAAAGAUGUCAACAGCAGCUAAGUUUGAUGGUUCUCCUUCUCGGUCAUAUCUGCAACUCAAAUGAAAUAGGAAUUAAACUCAAAAUACAAGGGCAAACAAAUCUGAAAUGACACUGCUAAUUGACAUUUUCAAACGAAUUUAAUCAUUUAUGUAACCGAGGGUAUUCACAAAGAAAUUUUCCCACCUCAAAGAAAGUCUGUCAAGAUAUGUUUCACGAUUUACAGGGAGCCACUUUGGGAACUGAUCAAGAAUCCAGGAAAUUGCAAACCAAAUCUCACAAAUGACUGAUAUCAGCCACAGAGCAUAGGCAUUUUGCACAGGAUUUGUUAUUCGAUAGUGCAAGAAAAUGCACAGAAUAAUAAGCCGCAGAACAAUGACCAUUCUGUAAGG